rnacentral:lncRNA from 1 species
UUUCAGUAUUGGUGCUGCAUAUGGCUUGGUUUCGUGAGUGUUUUGAGCAUUGUUCUAAAAAUUUGCAGCUUUGGGUAUUAGUUGGUUAAAACUGGAGAACGAGUUUAAUUCAGUUAGGGAUUUGAAUUCUGUUAUUGGAUAUAAACAAAUUUGAUCUAUGCGUCGUCUUUUUUUCAGCAUAGGUAGUGAGAAGACAUUGCUCCUUUCCUCGACUUAAUGAUAACAAAAUUUCAGCAUAUGUGUGUUCCAAUCAUGGACUGCAGCCAGUUUUAAUGCUUGGUUAUAAUUCCCAGCAUCUAGCUUUUUUUUUCGAAUUUUAAAGGUAUGAUUUUGGUGUGUUGGGUUUCUGGGUUUUCUGUUUAUUGGUGGUGCUGGGAGAAAUAGAUAUCUUCUUUUUAGAAAGCUUUCCAUGUUUCAUGAUAUGUGAGGGAAUCAAGUAACAAAUAGUUAUUAGACCAAUGAUUAGGUAGUAGAUUGAUAUGUUUAUACCAUAUAAUCAUAUAUAUCUGAACAUAUUGAAGUAUAUAGUCUAGCUGGAUUGCUUUGUGUUUAUUUUGUUCUCAUUGUGUGAGUGCUUCGAUAAAUACUUGGUCUUUUUGGCUGAGAUGGAUUAUGUUUUGGCUGACUUGAAUAACUAUUUGUGUAAAAUUUAGGGACGUAGAUCCCGGCACUGAAGUUGAGAAGGAUGUUAAGUGCUUUAUAUUACAGUUGGGAGAGAAUGAGGCUGUUGAUGCCAACAAGGAGGAUUGCGUGGAUGAGUGAAGAGGAGGGGUUUUUCAAUGCGAGUUCAUAAAUUGUAAGACUAGGUAAUGAAUAAUUUUCCUUAAUCAGAAGAGAUAUAUUGAUUGGUUUUCCAUUAUCAUUGCGAUUUGUAACUUGGAAUUUGGUGCAUGAUAUACUUGAUUUCCUGAUUCCUCUAAUUCACUUUCAGUUAGAACCCAGGCAACCAAAAUAUAUUAUAUGUAACUUGGAAAGCUUCUACUCUUUUUUUAAAUUCUUUGUUUGGAACAUUUUUUAUCACAUUUUUGUGUUUCAAUUAACAUUGGAUGGCAAGAGAAAAAGAAGCAAAUAUUUGUUGUUACCAUCACAUGAUUCAUAUCUCUCUGAGACAGGUUUAGCAAUAGGAGAAUGGUCUGAUUGCAUUAGGAAUAUGAUUGUAUUAUUUCUUGACUUUUGUUAGACCCCAAAAAUAAAAAUUAGUUAACUGAAAUACUUCUGAUAACGUAUAGUUGUAUUUAUGGUGAGUUAUGUAAUUACUUUGUUUCUUUUUCUUUUUGUAAGAUUUGUGCAGUUGUUGCAUUCAGGAUCUAAUUUGCGGAACAUUGAGCUCUUAUACAUCUUCUUCAUAUUCAGGUAUAUCAGACCUCUUCUGUAAAUUCAAGUUGAAAUCGCAAUUAAAAUUUUAGAAGGAUUCUUGAACAAUACAGCUUAUUUGUUCUGUUUAUGGAUUUUUUUUUUCUUGCUUAUGAAUUCUGAGUUAUUGUCAUUUCUUGGAUUUCAGCAUAGUUUGAUGAAUGUGGAGGUUGGGUUCUACUGUUGAAUAAUCUGCGUAUAUAUGAAAGUUGCCUGAUCCAAUUGAAGCUCAGAUCAUAUCCAUUGAAAAAUUCUGACAUCACCUCUUCUUCAAUUUGUGCAUUUUUCAUAAACACUGCUCUUCAUUUCAGGUAAAUACAUUCUCUGUUUGGAAAUUGAUGAAUUUGAUAAUGACUUUUUUUUCGAUUUGGUUGUUUAGUUUUGAAUUUGGGUGUUGGCCGCAGGAAUUGGAAGAUUAAUUUACUCAAUUUUUCUUCGAAGAUACAAACUUUGAUUGGGUUGUAUCGAAAUUGAGAAAUUUAACAUCUAGGUCUGAUAAAAGUAAUCAACUAAGUUUUUAUUUAUUGAGUUUGGCUUUUGGUUUGAUGUUUUGGUGAUGUGUUUAGGUUUGGGGUGUGGAGCCUGUAUUGCAGCCAGUGAUCAUUUUAAACGAGUAUAAUGCAGUUGUGAGUGUCCAUUUAUUAUGAGGUCAUUUAUUGUGAGUGUCCAUUUCUGAUAAAGUUUCUAAUUUCAUAGAUAGUCUCAGACUGCAGGGAAUUUAAGUUAUCUUGGAAUAACAAAACUUGAAACUGUGCACCUUUGGUUGAUAACAUAAUCAUAGCUUUCUUUCUUUCUUUCGAAUCCUAAAGGCAUGGACAAACUGUCCUUUUUUUUUUUUUCUUUUUUUCUUUUUUUCCAUAUUCUUGCAUAUGAUAUACUAAUCCUUACAGUAAACUUGAUAGCAUUAGAUUAAUGUUGAGAAAAGUCUGACUCAGUUGAACUGUUGAAGGAUUAAGAACUUACAAUUUUAGAUGGCCUUUAGUCCAUCUGGGAUUUGAUUGUAUUUCUUGAUGUGCUGAGACAUUCAUACUAAUACUUCGUUUAUUUUUCAGUGGUUUCUAGGCAUGAAACUCACAGUUGAAUGAAUACGAGGUUUGAAAAAUGAAUGUAAAACUGAUCUCAUUUGGAAUGUGAUGGUAAAAAGUAAGAGAAAAUUUUCCAAAUUUUCCUAAACAUUUGAUCCAAUUAUGUUUCAAUUUUAGUUAGUAGUGUUAGUCUCGAGGAAACAAUUAGCAUUGUGUUUUUGAGAUUGUACACUUGCUACACUGUUAGUAAACUCAGCAGUCUACAACCACCAAUAUUAUAUUUCUGUCGCCUUGAAUCUUUACCUGAUGUCCGCAAUGUUAUAUUUCUCAGUUGUAUUCUAAUUCUUUCAUUUUCAAUUUCAUGUUUAUUACCUUUCGUACUCCAGACUGAUUUCUGAACCUACAAACCAAAACAAUUGAAGCAUUUAUUAUUUUUGGACAUGACACAACAAAGUGUUGUUUUUGUAAUAUAUAAUGCAUGUGUAUAAUCAUUAUAAUGUAUGUGCAAUGUGUACUGUUGAUGGAAUUUGAUGUUCUAUGAUGUAUAUGUAAAGAGAAUUGCAUCAAUCAAGUAAUCAAGUAUUCUUCAGCUUCAAUUACAAACGUGCACCGCGGCAAAGCGCGGGUUGUAAAUCUAGUGAUUUAUUUGAAUUAGAAUGCAACCACAAGCAAGCCCAUAUGGUUGCUUUAGCAGCCUCGCAAUCGUGUACGCGGCCCCGAAACAGAAAUGACACAACGUACGUACAUAAUGAUUGUAUUGGUCUCUCAGCAAAUGCAGGACUUCAAAGUUGUACGUCGAGCUUUCCUUCUAGGUUUAUUUCACGUAACCAAAGAUACAAAAGUAAAACCAAGAAAGGUUGACAUGCUUUCCUCUCCUCUCUCAAGUCGCCGUCUCCGACCUUUCAAUAAUAGCUAUGGUGAUGUUGAGAUGUGCUCGUGCUCGUGCUUCACGGACGCCCUGAAAACAACAAUGCAACAACCACACACGUUGAAGUGAUAAAAUUAUGAAAAUUGUGCGCAUUCUUGAGAGUACAAUAUAUGCAUGCAUGUCCACAUAUAACCCGAUGUGGACAUUACUGGUCCGAAAGGUGCUGGUCCAAUUGCACGUAUAUACAUGCGUGAUAUGUCGACAUAUAACCCAACAAAUACACGUAUAUACAGGCAUGUGAUAUGAAUUCAUAUCCUGCUCCAACAUUUCCUCUAUAUAUAGCAACUAAAUUCAUCAAGAUUGUAGUUUUUCUUGUGGCCAUCAAACACUUUCUCGAUCUUUUUGUUAAGGUUUUGAAUAUCAUGCAAGUCAUGUCGUUGCCAUCCUCCCCAGUAUUUCAGGUUUAUCGAAUGCAACCACAACUUGUAACUCCGGCAAGGCCAACUCCUCGUGAAAUAAAGAUGUUGUCUGAUAUAGAUGACCAGGAAGGCUUAAGGUUUCAGAUACCAGUCAUCAUAGCCUGCAAGAACAAUCCUUCGAUGUCGAACCGAAAAGACCCCGUUCCGGUGAUCAUAAGGGAAGCAAUAAGUAGAGCAUUGGUGUACUACUACCCUUUGGCUGGUAGGCUCAGGGAAGGGCCUAACAGAAAGCUUAUGGUGGAUUGCAAUGGAGAAGGCGUCUUGUUCGUCGAGGCUAAAGCUGACGUCACUCUUGAGCAACUCGGAGAUGCUAUUCGACCCCCUUGCCCUUUCUUAGAAGGUUUCCUGUGUGAUGUCCCCGGCUCUGAUGGCAUUCUUGGUUACCCUUUGUUGUUAUUUCAGGUAUAUNNNNNNNNNNNNNNNNNNNNGUGAUUUUCUCUAAUAAUGUUAAUAAGAACAUAGAGAUAGACGACUAAACCACAUAUAUGUGCUAGGUGACCAUUUUGAGAUGUGGAGGUUUCAUACUUGCAUUGCGCCUCAACCAUACAAUGUGCGAUGCGCCUGGAUUGGUCCAGUUCUUGAACACCGUAGGGGAGAUGGCUCAAGGAAAAGAUGCACCAUCUAUUCCACCAGUGUGGAAGCGAGAGGUCUUGAAUGCUCGAGAUCCACCUCGAAUUACAUGCACGCAUCACGAAUAUGAGGAAACGAUUGACUACUCGGAUCCGAGCUCGGCUGCUACUGCCACAAUGGUCGAACAAUCUUUCUAUUUUGGUCCCAAGGAAAUGAAGGCCUUGAAGAAACAUCUUCCGCUGCACCUUUCAGCUUGCUCCACAUUUGACCUAAUGACAUCUUGCUUAUGGAAAUGCCGCACAGCUGCACUUGAGCUUCAUCCGAAACAGGUUGUUCGGGUUUCAUGCUUAGUCAAUGCACGGGGCAAGGGCAACAAUCUACAUCUUCCUUUGGGUUACUACGGCAAUGCGUUCGCAUACCCAGCUGCUGUUUCGGAAGUGAAACAACUGUGUGAGAGUCCUUUGGGAUAUGCAGUGGAGUUGGUGAUGAAGGCAAAAGCUGAAGUGAAUGAAGAGUACAUGCGAUCAGUGGCGGAUCUUAUGGUAUUAAGAGGAAGGCCUCCAUAUACAUCAGCAGGGAACUUCCUAGUUUCAGAUAAUAGACGUACUGGCUUGGGAGAGGUGAACUUGGGGUGGGGAAAGCCUGUAUUUUCUGGACCUCCCAAGGCCUUGAGCAAUAUUAGUUUCUAUGUUCAGCACAAAAAGGAGAAAGAAGAUGGAAUUUUAGUGUCAGUGUGCUUGCCCUUGUGGAGUAUGAAGAGAUUCCAGCAGGAACUCGAGAAGAUGACAUUUCAGGAGAUAGUGGAAAAUAAAAAUCACACUAGAGUUGCUAACGUUAAGUCUAUGUUGUAGAAUGUGUAUGUUAAAUAUUAUAUGUAUAUGUGUAGGAUAUAUUUUCCUAGCAUUAAGGUUGUAUCUUUAUAUAAACCCCAUAAUUGGAGAAGAAUAAUAUAUCGAAACAUUACAAACCAUAUUUUAUUCUUAUUUUCUACUUGGUAUCAGAGCAGGUUCAAUCCUGGAACCUGUUGCGUAUCGAAUCCACAAAUAACAUUCUGAAAACCAUCACCACAAAUCCGCUGCAUCAUUAUUGAAAUCAAACAAUACCUGAAUCUCGAAUCACACCACAAAUAAAUCGUUGCAUACCACCAUCAUCAAAAUCAUAAUUCCCGAAUCCUUGAAUUUUAAAACCCAAACCUCCAAAACCUUACACACACACACACACACACACAUAUGCACACCAAAUCAACUACCAUACCACUACACCAUGCCGGUCUCUAGGCAAACCAAAUUCAUAUGCGAACUUAAAAUGUUCGCUCUGUGGAGUAUUUGGUCAUAGUAAGCAACAAUGUUAUGAAGUAAUUGAGUACCCUGAUUAGUGGGAUUUCACCAAAAGACCACACAAGAAUCUUAGACUAGCUGUUAAAAUAGACAUGCGGCCAUGAGUCAAGGUUUGUAAGUUGAAAAAGUCUUUGUAUGGUUUGAAGCAACCUCCUAGAGCUAGGUUUGGAAGAUUCUUCAAAUCAAUAGUCAUUUGUGUAACACCCCGGACCUAAUUUUACCAAUUUAUCAGGUUUUCUACGAUUUACUGAGGAAUUUAACCGUGCUCGGUAACUUGGUAAUUUAACGUUCGAGUUCAUUUUUGAGUUUUUCUCAAAAUGUUAAAUUCUUCUCUUAAGGCCCCGAUGCAUAGUACACAACAAUACUAGUAUAAAGACAAUGCUAGCUGUUUUCUUUUUCAAAUUUGGAAUAGUAGGUUUCCUUUUCACAAAAGGAAUAGUAUGCGCUCUUGUUUCGAUUGUGGGAGAUUGAUUUGGGGUAUCAGACUAUCAGACUGUUUUCUUUUUUAUUCCUUUUAUUAAACUCAAACGAGAUGUCCUGGUUGAAAAAUUAUCAUAAAAACUAAAAGGUAAUAAACAAAUCUCAAUUUAAAAGUUAAAACAUCAUCAAAAUUUUGGAGCCAAGUUUUGUGGGAAUGUAAACCCCAAAGAAAAUUUCUGGUAACUCGCCAGAUCCCAGAAAUUUCUUUGAUUGUGGUAUAUUGCUAACAAAGUCAGUGCUAGGGGCAUCUUCGAUAAUAACAGCAUUGGUUCGGUGAAAAUGGUGGCCGAGUACAUGAACAACAAGGUUAAUUAAGUUGAUCUUAAUGUGAUUCAGAAGUACUGAUCUUAAUUUACAUGCCAAGCAUAGCAGAUGGCUAAUUUCUUAUCAGGAGCCUAACAGAAGCUGAAGCUUUUGCAGAGUUAAGAGCCAAAGCUUAUUAUAUGAACACCAAACUUGUAGCUUUUACUACCACUGUCAUUUCAGUUUUGAACUCCCAUCUCCGAGAUUAGCUACUCCAUUUAAAUCUAUUAAACCUUAAGCAUCAACUUUGCCCUGAAGUUCCCUUUUAGGACUUGGGAGAAUGUUGGAAGACUUUGUCUCUAUGGAUUAUGGAUGAACUCAUUGAUCUGCCAUGUAAAAUGAAUCAUUGUCCAGUUGGAUCAUUAACACAGAUUACAUAACUCCUACAGGUUCGACAACUUGUAUAUAAAAGUACUUGAUCACAUCACUAUCUUCCCAAGAACCCAAGGCUUCUUCCAUCAUGGGUGAGGCCAUAAAUUUAGCUUGCAAAUGGAAAUGUAACUUUUUUUCCUAGCUAAUAGGGUGAAUGACCAAUUUCAGCAAACAUUACUUUAUCUCUCAUCACAUGUUGCAAUGAAUCAGUCUGUGUAAUGCCUCAUGAAAGGAGCAAAAGCUACCUCUCUCAUAAUGUAUAGUAUUCAUUGGAUCAUGUUGAACUGAGUAGCAUGAAUUAUUAAGGUUAAGUAGAUCUUAAUGUGAUUGAAAAGUAUUGAUCUGGUUUAUAUGUCAAUCAUAUAUAGAGGAUGGUUAACUUCUUUAUAGAAAACCAAUAGGCUGCAGUAUGUGCAGUGCUAAGAUCAAAGCUUAUAAUGAAGUUAUGAAUAUCAAUCUUGUAGCUUUAAUUAGCUAGACUUGAGUAUUAUCACUAUGGAUCAUACUGACCCUGCAAGCAAAAACUCCUUCAACAUUUUCUAUCAGAGGCUUAAGUUGCUUCCAUUGCAACAAUGGUCAUUGUCUUGCACACAUCCUCUGACAUUAGUGGUACGUAUUACGCUAAAUCGAAAAUUGAACCUAUGAGUAAACAGAACACAGGCAACUACUCCUUGUUGAAUCUUCAUCCCCUGUUUCUGGCAGAAAGAGUUGGACUCGAAUAAUACACAUUGGAGAUGGCUACCAAUGCUUGAAUAGCUAGUAUAUAACUAUAUAUAUAUAUAUAGUUAGGGUUUUAGGUUUUUUAGUUUUAAUCUCNNNNNNNNNNNNNNNNNNNNNNNNNNNNNNNNNNNNNNNNNNNNNNNNNNNNNNNNNNNNNNNNNNNNNNNNNNNNNNNNNNNNNNNNNNNNNNNNNNNNNNNNNNNNNNNNNNNNNNNNNNNNNNNNNNNNNNNNNNNNNNNNNNNNNNNNNNNNNNNNNNNNNNNNNNNNNNNNNNNNNNNNNNNNNNNNNNNNNNNNNNNNNNNNNNNNNNNNNNNNNNNNNNNNNNNNNNNNNNNNNNNNNNNNNNNNNNNNNNNNNNNNNNNNNNNNNNNNNNNNNNNNNNNNNNNNNNNNNNNNNNNNNNNNNNNNNNNNNNNNNNNNNNNNNNNNNNNNNNNNNNNNNNNNNNNNNNNNNNNNNNNNNNNNNNNNNNNNNNNNNNNNNNNNNNNNNNNNNNNNNNNNNNNNNNNNNNNNNNNNNNNNNNUGAGUUAGGGCACAAGAGAAAAUAAAUGAUCAUGAACUGUGAGCCUCAUCUCAACCAAUAUACAAACAAGCUUAGCACAUAUCCUCAAGUUCUGAUUGUCUUGCAGACAUCCUCUUAUGAAGCUAAGCUAUCUCCCAUUGAGAGUGUCUGCAAGCGAAUCAGAACCUGAAAAUUGAGCUUAAGACCAGGUAGACGAGAAGCUUUGGACUUUCGGGUCUGGGAAAAAAUGGGAGAAAAGUGGGAUAAACUUCUAACUCAGGAGAAACAAUGAAUGAACGGACAUAGUUUUCUUGAAUUGGGGAUUGCCCGGAUUGGUGUAAGGCAUCCCUCCUCGAAGGCAAUUCCUUCAAUCUUGAUCCCCUAUAAAUGGCAUGGCAGAAAGAAUUGCCAUCAAGAGAGGGAGACCUAACAUCAUUCCCAGCAAUCAAAGAAUAAGAUUGCAGGCUAUCCCAUUCUUGAUCAUAUAUAUAGUGAGUCAAGGGUAGAUGAAUUAAAGCAUACAAAAAAGAAAAAGGCACAAUCCAUCCGUCAAAGAAAUCUGACCCUUCAUGUGAAAUUCAAAUUCAAUUCCUUCUGCAACAAGUCUUCAGUUUCAAAGAUGCUCUGAGCACACUGGCAUUGCAGGUUCUGAUCUGCAGAGUAGAACAGAUCAGCUGACGAGGAUUGACCAUAGACCAAUUCUUCCGAGAUGGAAGUAGGACUCAGAUGGAGAAUUCCAGAUUUGCAGAGAGCAGAGCAGGCUGAGUAGGAUUAACCAUUCACCAAAUUUUCAAAAUGCAGAUUAGACUAACCAUUGACUUUAUAUCCCAGUUCAACUGGGAGAAAGAAGAAAUCUCAAUGUUUUUGAUUGUCAAGGGCACUAGUGUUACAACAAAAGGUUCAAACAAUGUACUUCUCCCUCUAACUAUCAUCCUUACAAAACAUAACAACAAUAAAGGCUGUACAAAAAUAAGGAUAAAAAUGUGAAUCAGAUUUUUAUUUUCUAGAGAACAAAAGUAAAAUCUUUGCUAUGGCUCCUAUCUAUCUUGGUGUGAUUGUAGGUACGACUCCGCUAACAAGGUCACUGCCAGAGACAUCUUCAGAAACAUAAGGAUUCUUCCCUGCAUUGGAUGAAGAUGGUGGAUCGCUUACUACCUUUCCUGUACUACUACUGAGCACUGAUUCCGUUGUUCUGCUGUCCAUCUCAGGCAUCAUAAACCAUAUGUUUUCAAGUUCUCGAACCACCUCUGCCAUUGAGGGUCUUGCAUCAGUCUCAUCUUGACAACACUUGAGGGCUAAACUCAAGAACUUUUCCACACAGUCAGAAGGAUAAGACCCCAUUCGGGCAUCAAUUACUGAGAAGAUCAUACCGGACUGGAAUGCAAUAUUUACCUGAAGUGGAAGAAAACUGACUUAACAUAAUGUAAAAAUGUAGAUUAAGAAAUGAGGUUGUGUUGUUUACAACAUAGUAAUCACAUGAAAUGGUUUACAUAUCUACUUAUGGAAGUAGUUACCUCUCGAACAAUGUUUUUUCCAUGUGAGAUUGGCUGCAUUCCGGUUAAGAGCUCCAGAAACACAACUCCGAGGCUAUAAACGUCACUCUUGUCUGUUAGCUUAUGGGUUAAGAAGUACUCUGGAUCAAGGUAACCCUGCAAAACCAAUACACAUAGUAAGAGAGAGCAGGCACCUUCCGCAUUACCUAAAGAGACAAUUGACCAUUUCAUUUUUAAUUAUGCAAGUAGAAUCUUAGUCUUACUGGCGUCCCCUUCACUACUGUGGAUACAUGAGCAGGUGUAGCUCCUUCAAGAUCAGGUACCGGGGCAAGUCGGGAAAGUCCAAAAUCAGCAACUUUUGCCACAAACUUCGAGUCCAAUAAUAUGUUGCUGGCCUUGAUAUCUCGAUGGAAUAUCGGAGGGUUGGCUUCUGUAUGUAGGUAGAGGAUGCCCCUGGCUGAUCCCAGAGCAAUUCUCAAUCUCAUUUCAAAUCCAAGUGGUUCUUUCGACCUAACUGCUAUACGAAGCAUCAUUAAUAUGUUAAUAAUAUCAUCUGAGUUGAAAGUUCAUUUCAUGUGUUAAGACUCAAACUUAAAAUGCUCUAUCACCAUUUCUAAGUACAACAUUUAGUAGCAUUACGACGAAGCAAAAAUGAAAGGCAUAAUGAUAAGUGAACUGUAAUUAGUUUACCAGAGAGGUGAUCCCUUAGAGUGCCAUGGGACAUGAAUUCAUAAACCAGCAUCUGCAUGUCAAAAUCAAUACACUGUGAAGCUUUUCCAAAAUGAAAAUUAUUGGUUCCUCUAUAGCAAAAAAAAACAGCAGGAGAAAAGAUAUUAUUGAUUCCUAAUAUCAAUGUAAAGUAUUUCCUCAAUGCGCCGUGAUAGACCAAUUUCAGAUGAACUGAUAAUCCCUAAUCUUAAACAUCCAUAGAUGUCUUUUUAAAUCUGGAAUGAAAAAUCUUCUGAAGAAAAUGAAGAGCUUAGAAAAGGAUAAGCAUAAAUACCUGUUCACCUUCAUCAUCACAAUAUCCAACUAAGGAGACCAGAUUCCUAUGAUGUAAGGGUGACAAUAGUUCUAUUUCUGUUAGAAACUCCUUCUCACCCUGUAAUGAUCCUUCUUGUGCACGUUUUAUUGCCACAAGUGUGCCAUCAGCGAGAGUGCCCUUGUAAACCUUUCCAUAACCACCUUGGCCAACUUGAGCAGAGGUGUUAAAAUUGUUCGUAGCAGUGGCCAUCUCUCCAUAAGUGAAAGCCUUAACACCAUCAAUUUUUAUGGAACUCUUCGAUUCUGCAUGUAUACAGAGAAGAAUGUUAAAAAUGAACUUAUUUAGAUAAUAAAUCAAGAGGUAGUAUGCCUCCAAAUGUUGUCAUAAUUUUAUGAAAUACAAAGUCAUUUUGGUUCAUCAGUAGUCCUACAGAAUACCAGAAACUGUAUAUGCAGGUAAUGGUUUCUAACUUUCUAUCAACACAUUCAGGUGUGGUUUAAUCGUACCUAUUUUGUUCAACCAAAAAAAAAAAAAAACUUACAUAAUUCUACUACAUAAAGAAAAUUGCAAGUGUUCAGCCACUGGACCAGGGCAGAAAUGAGGUCAAUCAGUGGCCAGCUUCAAAUAUGAUUUCCUAGGAAAAUGAUUAUCUAAACAAACAGCAUUCUCUUUGUGACAUAGAUACUCACUAUGACGUCUUCUAGAAACAGCAGGGUGGUUCCUCUGAUGCCUUCUCAAUAUAAAUAAAGAGACAACUGCAGAUAAUGCAACCGCAGCAGCAAAAGUUCCCACUAUUAUGCCAGCCAGAGCACCCUUGCUUACACCAGACUUCUUAGAGGCGGAUAGUACUGUGAAUCAAUAAGAACCAUGAGCCUCGACGACAAAUAAAAAUUCAGCUAAAUGACCAUAUACGCAUACCCAACCACCCACACACACACACACAUACCCAACCACCCACACACAUACACCCAUAUACGCAUAGCCAACCACACACACACACACACACACACACAAACUAACAUUAACUCUGAUUUAGGAAAGAACAUAUAAAAUGAGACUUUUGAGACGUACCGUCCUUGUAAGGAUCCAAUAGUGUGAUCCAAAUAAGCUCAUAAGGUCCAAAUAAUUCACUGUCAUUAAUGUUCCAUGAUGUGAACUUGUGAAGGAUUCUUUGGACUUCACUUUUAUUGAAUUCACGCGAAAUAGUAUCAUUAUUAGCGACAUAUGCAGGGAAAAGCUUCAGAGAUAUUCUCAGUCGAGGUCCCUUUUCCCAUACAAAUGACGGAAUGUCCAGUUGAUCAAGAUCUAAGUUGAGACCAGAUGUAAGAUACUCCUCAAAUGUAAUUCUGUAAGGGCGAAAAUCAGUGAAUCCAGGACUUUUCAACCGAUAUUCUAUAAGCAGUGGAACAGCACAGAAACAAAAUGCAGGAAGAUAUUCGAAAGGGGGCGGGCAUGCUUGACUUGGACAGCCAGCAGUAGAGUUGGUUGAACUCUCACUGUCAUCUUCAUCAUCAAUUUCAGAUCCACACAAAUUGUCCAGGUUAGCAUUCGAGCAAACUGGAUUUCCAUGAAGCCUGAGCAAUAAUAUUCAAAACAGGACGUGAUUAAAUACUGGUAUAUGGUGUACUACUACGAAAUUAUCUAAAAGUGCAAAUCCAGAUUUGUUACUGAGCAGAUAUGUAAGUUUAACAAACAUAUGUAUAAGAACAGCAUAAAUUUCAGUUAACAUUAAUAAUGUAUGUAGAAACCAGGUUCGGAAGCAAACCAGACAGUGACAUUCUGUGGGAUUUGGGUACUGCCAGAUAUAUUUGUAAGCUGAUUGUUCUGCAACUCCCUGCAAUAUCAGAAACCAGACACCGCCUCUAAGAAAUUUGUUGAUAUGAUAUAUACAAGUCAAAAAAGAAAAAAAAAGAAAAGGGAAGGUUAAAGUACAUUCUUCGGUUAGAAAAGGAAUUGGAAUCAACAUAUAUCAUUAGGAUGCAAACUAAACACAACCCCGCUGACCCACUAACUCUUAAAUCUUAAUAGAAGGAGUAAAGAUUUUUACACAGUUCUUACACUAUUAGUCUUUCUGUUGCAUUGAGUGUCGUCUCAUUCCAAAGGGUUGCUGGAACAGAUCCAGUCAGUGAAUUGUUUGCAAUGGACCUGCCAUGCAAAAUAAAUUCUCAGUUUAUUCCAUUGCAUAAUUUGUAUAACUGGAACUACAACAUCUAAUAGAUUUGUAUUUAAAAUAGCUCCUCCAGUACUCACAGAGAAAGGUCGAAGCUCAGAUUUAGCUAAGAUUAAUCAACAAUACAAUGAACCAUCAAAAGGAUUGCAAAAUAAGGAAAGAGCAUAUUGAAAUCACUCACAAUCUUUGAAGCUGUGGAAGACCAGAAAAGCUGGCAGGAAUGCUCCCACUUAGAGUGUUGUUAGAUAAAUUUCUGUGGACAUGGAUCACAUGUUAAAAUUUAUAAAAAAAUAAAAAUAAAAAUAUAAAAAAGUUACAAUCCUUUUAGAAUCAACUAUAAGAGUCCCUAAAGCUCAAUGGCACAUCAUUCAGAAUAACUAACAUUAGAUUCAUGGUAAGGGCAGAAAGGAUGUAUAUGCGAGAUAGAUAGUCUUACAUCGUUGUGAUGUCAUCAGAAAGUUUUCCAAGAGGUAUGGAUCCAUUUAGCUGAUUCCUACUUAGAUCUCUGAAAAUUUAUAUCAAAUAGUACUGUAUAAAUAAGAUAUUGAUCUUUCCCAAGCAUAUCACAUUCUACUGGUAAUUUGAACAGCCAUAAAAUCACCACAAAAACUGGAGUAUGGAGAGUAACCGUUGAAUGAACUCACAAAAAUCCAAGUUUGGGUAUCCUACUCAAAUCAGGAAUGGGUCCUUGUAAGCUGCAGUUCCUGAGACUCCUGACAAAACCAACCAAAAUACAAACAUAUUCAAUUGGAUACUUAGUGAACACUUGUUUCUGUUCAUUCAACCAGAGUAGAAACAUCACACAAUAAUGGAAUAAUCAAUAAGAUUCGUGCAUUUACUACUUAUGUGAAGUAGUAAUAAUACACUUCAUGAUUGUAUGAUGCAGUAACACCACCCAACAAAUUUGAGAAAAUUUAUCUGCUUUUGUUACUACUUGUAUAGAUGUGAGGGGGGGUUCUUAUUUGUACAAAUGGUACUCUAUUCAAAUGUUAGGAGCCAUGUGAUUGUUUCCCAACAUACCUUCUCCCUACCUCUUGCAGUGUUGCUAACCUUAUACUGGUAACACACUUCUAUAAUAUUCAGUCUUAGAAAUUAAUAGAUGAUUAACCUCAAGGCUUUUGGCUUCACACCUCAAGGUGUACAGAAUAGCAAGUAAAAAUAAAAGGAGAUGCUAGCGCAUAGCAAGCUGACAGAUGUAGAAUCAGACGUUUUACUUACAACUUCAACAGUUUAGACAUGUUGCCGUAAGAAGCUGGAAUUGUACUCCCAUCAAAGUUGUUGUUGUCAAGUUGACUGCCAAAUAAAGAUGAUAGUAAGAAACUCGAAAUAGGUUUACAUAUGUAGUAUAAUGUUGAAGAAAGAAAAUUCUAGAAAAAUUAUUGAUCAAAGGGACACAAAACCAAAAGGCAAUGAUGAAUACAUGUUACCCACAUAACAAGAAAUUAAUGGUAACAAUAUACAAAAGAAACAUAACUAAAGUGGAUUUGGAAGUAAGACAUACAGUAUUAACAAGUUUGGCAGAUCUGAGAACUCUGGUGGAAGAUACCCAGAUAAGUUGUUGUUGUCAAGAAGACUGCAGUGUUAGAGUCAUUUAUUUAACAGAAGAUGGUCAUAAUAUAGACAAUGAAGAGGAGCAACGAUAAUAACAAACUCAUUUGAAGCAAUUUGAGAUUCUGGUUGGUCUCACUUAAUCCAGUUAAUGGACACAAUUAAGCUACUUACAAGUGGACAAGACUCGGUAAUCUGGAAAGCUCAGAUGGAAUUUGCCCACUAAUUGAAUUGUUGUUCAUGUGACUGCUCAAAAGAAGGAAAAAAUGUGAGACAGAAGAAAGAGAGAUGUAAAAUUAAUAGAAAGUAAAAUUAUCAUAUGUUAGCUACAGCAGCAUCAAAGACACUCACAAGUGCUUUGUUUUGUCUAAAUUCGCAAAUGAUUUAGGAAUUGGUCCUGAAAUAUAGUUCUGGUCAAUUUGUAUUCUGUCCAAGUUCGGGAGAUAACCAAGCUCUUCAGGCAGGGGACCUGACAACUGGUUUCCAUUCAGCAGCCUGGAAACACUGAAUAUUAGAAGUAGAAUAGAUACUCAAGUAGCUUUAUAAUAAAUUCAAUAACAAUUUGGGAAUAUUUCUAAGCUUAUAUAAGUUUCUGAAUGGUUUAACACAAAUAAAUAGUCACAGAUGCCAAUGUAGACCUGCCGAUAUUUAAUUCUACCCAAAUAUUGCCUAGGAAACGAAACAGAUUAACUUACAGGAGUUCCAAAGAUGUAAUGUUGCCUAUCUCCUUUGGUAUACUCCCACUUAUUUUGUUCCACAUAAAAUCCCUGCAGCGGAGUAGAUGAAGGAAUAUGCAUCAGAAGGAAGAGAAAAUCGCUAACCAUGGAAGGAGGGUGGUAUUGAGCGAAAAGGUUCUCCAAGAAUUUAAACUACUUUUUUUUUUCCAAGAACAAUAUAAAAUCAGACAGGAGUUCAAGAUUUCCCAAUAUUAGUGUAAAAGAGCCUUACAAUAUUCUCAUAUAAGAUAAGCGGCCAAGCUCUGGUGACAAAGUUCCUGAGAGAUUCAUACCUAACAGUAGCCUGCAGUAAAGAAAUUGAACAAAUCUGUAUAAGACAUUUAUUUGAACUGCAAACCUGUUUUCUGGUGACCACAAUGUAAUUCCGAACAUGAGACACUAAUAGUUCCUGAUACCUAGUUUACUGAUCAAAUUGAUAUAUUUUUAUUUCAUUGUUAUAUAUCUGCAAGCUUGUCCAUCCAGGCAUAGAAGUUAGAGCUAUAUUGCAUGAUUUCUUCCACAGUGAAACGACUCUCACAGUCUCACAACAAAGAUGAAAAGAAAGAAACAAAAGCAAAGGGUAUAUCCCCAUUCAGUCAAUAAUACUGCAACAUACAGAUAAGGAUAGAAACCAUACAAUUCUUGAACAUGAAGAUAUCCAUCAUCAAAUGACCCGUUGAAGCACAAAACGCCUGUCCAGUUUGCUGUACAUGGAUCCCCUUGGUUCCAAUUGCUCAGAUUCUUGUUGGGAUCAAUCAAACUUUUCUUUAUGGCCUUCAAUGCCGUCACUGAGAUAUAAAACAAAUGAUAAUGACAACUUCAUCAACACAAACAAGGAUGUCCUGAUAAAAACAAGGUUAUAUCGCCUACAGCAGGAAUCAGUCAAUCACAUAUUAUCAUUCAAACAUACACGCGUAAAUAUUAGUACCUCACCAGGUCUUAUGCAUGUAAAUUGAACUGUAAUUGGUCAUAAACAUCAAUCCUUUGAUAAAAGAGUAAAUUGGAAAAUUGAAACAGAUAGCUUCAUUCAUUAAUUGAAUCUACCUAUAAGCACAAAAAGGCAACUCAUAUUUCUUAUUCGAAAACUUCUAUAACAGACUUGGACAAAAAAUUUUAUUCCCCAUACAACUAUGAAGGAAUCUUAAAAUUGCAAAGCUGAGUAAAACAUAAGCAAAUUUACCUUCUACCGGGUCGGUAAUCUCCUGCCCUUGUGCAGCGGCUUGUACUCCUUGUAGUGAAGACCAGCACAAGCACACAGCCAAAAUGGCUACACAUGUCCAAGCUCUAGAUUGAUACAUCCCCCCAGUGUAAAUAUCACUAAAAUUCUGAUACACCUUUCAAUCUAUUAAAACCCAACUGCUGGAAUUCGUGCAGAAUUCGGAUAGUCCCCCUGACAUAGCAACAAGCAUAACAAAAACGAUUGCAAAUUGAAUUAGUGGGCAACCCAAAUAUAUUAAAAGACAGAGCCUUCAGCUUGCACGCUUGAAAUGAACUAAAAUUCUCAAUUCUCAUGCUACUCAUUAAGCUCCAAAUACUUGAAAACAAAACAUGGGAAUCAAAAAAUGAAAACAAAAACCAUAUUCCAGACAGCUUGAGACAGAAGGAAGGAAACCCAAUUGCCAGCAAGUAAUAGAAAUAUAAGAACAAACCUCAAUUGGCCAUAUCCAAUUUAAAGUCUUAAACUUUACAAUGAUACAGAGAUACAAGCUUCUUGGGUUGAAUAUAAAAACUGUGAGAGAAAGAAAAACACCAUGAAAACAUAUGAGAAAAUGGACCUUUUUGUGUGUGGUACAUAUCUGACCAGGUCGCCGUAACUUCCAUUGAUGCAUAGGUGAUCGAUGAUGAUGGUAAUAAUAACCAUCGUUUUCUUUUGCAACUCUUUUUUUAUAAAUCUGCAAUUUGAAGAAAAAUAAAUAAAGAAUAAGUCAUAUAGAAGAGCAGUGGGUUGUUCUUGAACGGGGUGUGGCUUGACUUUGUGUUUGGAAGGUAGGCUGCUGUUGGGAGCUGGGACAGACCUUUGAGAUUGUUAAAUGUUUAGAAGCUGACGUCUAAGAAAAAUGGUGCCAACUACCCAAUGAGCGGGAGAGAGAAUUGGGGGUCCAAUGUGUCUAUUAUUUUCAUUAUGAAUAAUUAAACCCCAAAAUAAAUACAAAAUUAUUUUCUAUGUUGGUGAAUGGUGAUGAUCCAUUUUGCAUUUGCUUCUGUUUUAAAAUGUGAAAAUCAUAUCAGGCAUUUUUCACUAGUAUUUCAAAACAGACGUAAUUUGUGAUAUUGUAAGCAAUGGACGUAAAAAUGAUUUGAAGGUAAAAAGGAAAGUGUGAAAAGUGUUGAGAAAUGGACGUAAAAAUUGUCUCCCCGACUAUAGUUAAAGAUGUGGGAUCGUAGGAAGGAGAUAUUCAACUGAAAAAGUUCUUGCCUAAAGUAAAGGAACAAGAUUUGACUUGUGUUUAUAUAGUAAGCGGAUAGGGUUAUUUACUGUUUAAGUGAAUAGUGGCCCGCCGAAUUUACUCCUGUGUUUAUCUUUUAUUUCAGUUAUGUCACUCCCUCAGUUUUUUCUUUAUUUAAGUUCUGCCCCUGUAAUUUUUCUUUUAUUUCAGUUCUACCCCUCAGUGUUUUUAUUUGAGAUUUGCCCCUCUAUUUUUACUUUUAUUUUAGUUUUGACCCUCAAUUUUUGUCUUUUUUUUGUUUUCCUACUCAGUUUUUUUUUUUGUUAAUGUUAUACGUUUGAGAAAUUCUAUUAACACAUCCUUAAAUACUAGAUACAUUUUUUUUUAUACAAAUUAUAUGACUUUGUGCCUUUGUGGGUACAUAAAAUUACCAAAAAAGACAUUCAUAUCAAAAGUAAAGAAACUUAGUUGAAAUAAAAUAUCUUGUUUAAGACGUUCACAUUAACUAUUGUACUUCAAACAUUUUUCAAUUUUUAGCUUGAAUCGGUACCAAUUUUUUGUCACCACAUAUGAAUAUUAUACAAUGGUUCCCAAGAAUCGAUUAAUUUAGUUUUACACAGGAUUGACCAUUCUAAUGCUGAAAGUUAUGUUAAGGACUUUGGUGAUGUAUUGUCUUGUUUUGCUUUGAUUCGGUAGACUUAAGAAAUCUUGAAAUCAAUAUAAGUAAGAGGCUCCUUGAGAAGUGAGAAGAAAAUUUGGGUUCUGGCUCGAAUUGGGUGAAACUUGAAAAUGAAGGGCAAUACCUCAUUUUCUUUGAAAAUUGAGGUCUCCGAUGUCGGUAUGAGAAGAAUUGAAGUCAACAUGACCUUGGUAAAUUCACCCAAUUCCCUUAAAAAUAAUAGUUUCAAUAGAUUUACGAUACACGGUGCAUGUGAGUCAUAUAAGCAGCCCGAUCUUGAAUAAAACAAUAAAUGUCAUGAAUUUUUUAUGUUACAAUGGUUCAAAAGAUGUUAGGAUGUGUCUAAUAAGCAUAUCCAAACGGAAAAAGUAUGAUGUCUAAAAAAAAGUGAAACUUGUCAGAAACUAAUGUGUUAUAGCUAAGGGUUUUAGAUUGAAUUGGGUGAAACUUAAAAUGAGGGGUAAUACCUCAUUUUCUUUGAAAAUUGAGGUCCCCGAUGUUGAUAUGAGAAGAAUUGAAGUUAACACAACCUUGGCAAAUUCAUCCAAUAUCCCUAAAAUUAAAUAACAGUUUCAAUAGAUUUACAAGACACGGUGCACGUAAGUUGUUGAAGCCCGAUUUUGAGUAAAACAAUAAAUGCCAUGAAUUUUUGACCAUAAACUUUUGUGUUAUAAGAAGGGCUUUUGGCUCGAAUUUUGCGAAACUUGAAAAUGAGGGGAAUACCUUAUUUUCUUUAAAAAUUGAGGUUCACGAUGUCGGUAUGAGAAGAAUUGAAGUCAACACAACCUUAGUAAAUUAAUCUAAUAUCCCUGAAAAUAACAGUUUUAAUAAAUUUACGAUAUAUGUUGCACGUGAGGUAUGGAAGUGUUCAUGAUUUUCCAUUAAUCUUUUGCAGUCUGCAGACUGCAUAAAACAUAAGUAUGAUUAAGCAUGCUAGAGUGCUAUGAAUCUCAGUUUGCAUACAUAUAUAAUCAAAACCAAUUGAUAUAAAAAUUGUUUGUUAAAAUAAGUAUGAUUAUUGAGUAGGUGGCAUGUUGAUUAGAACAGAUAACUCAGAAGAUCGAGUACUUAAAGGUACACAUAUUAGCUAGCUAGGUGGCCAUGACAUGAGCAGAUGAACACAUGCAGACCUGGGUUUCAGUCAUUUGUUUAUAUACACAAUCCAUUUAAUCUAAUUUGAAUAUAGUCGAGUACCUGAUUAAUUAAGAUCAAGUAUCAUUGGACUAAUCCAUAAUUUAAGUGGGAACACAUAUAGUUAGUGAGUCAAGUAGCAUGGGUUGAUAAUUUCUGCAUGACAUAAUCUUGUUCAUCAGCCGUUAAUGACCAAAUGGCACUUGAAGCGAAUUCCAUGGUGGUAUUUGAAGUCAAAGAAUAGAUAGUCUGUUCAUCAACGCUGUAAGUUCAUGUAAAUAUCUAUAUGUACGUAUACAGUGAACAUCUAUUUAUAUCGAGCAUCUCCAACAACUUCUUUAUAAUUUCUCUAUAAUAGAGAAGCAAAAAUCAAUGUUUCAAGUAAUUUUUUUUCUCCAACUUCAACAGAUUUCUUAUUUUAGAUAUUUCAUUAUAUCCCUUAAAUUUUUUUCUAAAAUUUGAUAGUUAGCUGCAAAUACGAGAAAUUUGGUUUUCUCUCUCCUCACAUAUGUUAAAGCAAAACAACUAAAAUCUUCCUUAAAAUUGAGAAAACCAAGAAUAUAGAAAAGUAGUUGGAGUUGUUCUUAUAAACAUUUCAUUAUAAACAUUUCAGUAUCUCACCCAGGCCCGGAUUUGAAUAGAGGCACAAGAGGCUUGGGACUCAGGGCCCAAAAAUCUAAGGGGGCCCAAAAAUUAUUUUUUUUAUAGUUGUCCAAAUUUUUUUUUUUUUUAAUAGCUUUUUGGCUGUGCAAUCUGAUAUGAAUUAAAGACAACUAUCCUAAAACAAAGACAAUUACAGGUGAUAAGGGGCCAAACCAUCAAUUACUACUUUAAAUUUGUACCCAUAAAAAAGUUAAAAUAUUAAAUAGAAGCAGCCAAACACGAUUAGGUAAGAUAUUUGUUGUAUAGAUAGGAUUUAUAAUACAAUUAAGAUUACUAAACCAUCAAGGUAUUGGAAUCCUAUUUGCAUAAUAAGUAUUUUGCAUAAAAAUUCUAUAUAUUUUUGGAUGUUAUAUGCUAUUUUAUAUAUAUAAAAAAAAAAUUAGGAGCCUAACUCUGAGAGUUCGACUCAGGCCUCAAAAUCUCAGGUCUAGGCCUGAUCUCACCUCACGUUUUGACCUCUUGUGCAGUAAUUCAAUGAAUGUAAACAAGCCAACCAUAUCUUUCAUCACCAUUUUUUUUAAUCACGGUUGAGAUUUCAACCUAACUAAUGUGAUUACGAGUAGCUUUCAAGUAAUUAGUCUUAUCAAGCUUGAUUUCAAAACUAAUAAUUAAUUUGGGAGGUACUUUCGUGGAUGGCUUUUAAAUACGCUCUCAUGGAUCAAUCACCUAUGUUAAAUAAACUUAACUAGAAAUUCAACGAUUUUGUGGCAUGGGAUCAGAAGCUAUUGUUGCAAACUUUACUAGUGACGGAAUCAUGAUUUGAAUCUUAAGAGGGUCGAGAUAUAGAACAUGACAGUAUAUAAUAUAAUAAUUAAAUAAGCUAUUCAUCAAUAAUAAUAAAUUACAAAAUAUUGUAGAUAUAUAUAAGUAACAUUGUCGUAUUUCUUUCUAUAAAUUAGGCGUAAUUAGUACACAUUAAAUCUUAUUAUUCUUUCUUUUUUGUUCUUUAGUUGUCAUUGAUUAAAGGGGGUUUCAUGAAUGAAUUAACACCAAAUUACCACAAUUAAUAUGGGAGAUUUAUAUGGUGACCGAGUGGAGAUAGAUAAGAGCGGGAGGGGGGGGGGGGGGGGGGGGGGGGGGGGUUCGAUUGUAUAAUGUAGUUCUGCCCCUGAGCUUUACAUAGAAAAAAACAUGUAUAUGUUUAUACAAAUCGUGCAAAUCAAGUCAUAAUCCUGACGAUUUAACAAAUAUUAAGUAUAAAAACAUGUAUAUGUUUAUACAAAUCGUCCGAAUCAAGUCAUGAUCCUGACGAUUUAACAAAUAUUAAUUAUAUAUAGGUCUAUUGUUGACUUGAUUCGGAUGAUUUAACUUAACAUUAUAGGUUUAAGAGUCAAAUCGUCAAAAGAACAUGUCGCUAACUCGAUCAUUUGGCACUGCUGGCUUAGUUAUGGGAAGAACCGCGAAAGCCUUAAUUUCAUACGAACAGCAUAUAAUGUAGUUUGGCAACAAAUAGGUGAGAAAUGAGAAGCAACUAAAAUGGCUGUCAAAGAAAAUGCAACCCGAUUACAUGCGAAUGUCUUACCAAAAGUGCAGCACUCACAUGACACAUGCAUAAACGAACAGUGUGAUUUGGCGGAAAUCAAAAUAUGCAAAUAAAAGGAUUGAAAUAAGAAAUGGGCCAAGUAUGCCUCUCUCUCUCUCUCUCUCUCUCUCUCUCUUAUUGUUUUUCUUGGUACUUAUUUCGUUAUAUGCUUUUGCCCUGAGACCCAAAAAAAUGGCCCAAGUAUGCCUUUUGAAGAAACUAAUUUAAGCUGAGAUACAGCUUAUCAGCCCAAAUUAAACUCAGAAAUGGGCCGGAAAUUAGAGAAAUAGCGGAAAGGUAAUUAAUUAGGGUUAGCAUUGUCUGCUGCGAUUUGCAGCAGUAGUACUGUAGUAGCUCGAUCAAGAACGAAGAUUCUGAUCAAGGUAAACCUAGUUCUCAUUGGCAUAAUAUAGUAGAAGUUUCAAUGAAACAUUACAUGCAUGGCAGAUCAUAUUCAUCAUGAAUGAUAAAUCACAAAGAAUUUGUCGACGUGCUCCCACAUCGAUCCCAUCAACUUGAACUUCCAUGAGUUCCAUCCCUCCACUCCAUCCCCAAGCGACUGAGACACCCACAAGACAAGCCACCACCGCCCAAAGCCUCCGCCGCACUCCGCUGUAUCUCCCUCACCCUCCUCCUCAUCUCCUUCCCUUCCUCACCUUCCACCACCAUCCUCACCACUCUCUCAACCUCACCCCUCCCCACAACUCCAUCCUCUCCCGCCUCCGGCCACACCGCCACUCCCAUCUCCACAAACGCCCUCGCAUUCAUCUUCUGCUCCGCAUAAAGCGGCCACGCCACCAUUGUCACCCCGUGCACCACGCUCUCCAUCACCGAGUUCCACCCGCAGUGCGUCACAAACCCACAUACCGAUGGAUGGCUUAACACAGCCACCUGUGGGGCCCACGUCUCCGUCACGAGUCCCGCCCCUUGUGUCCUCUCUAAAAACCCAUCCGGAAAAUACGACGCCGUAAGGGCACCAUCACCACAACCAGCUUCGAAGAAGCUUCCGGAAGAAUCGUUUGCUUUAGGACGUCUCGCCAGCCAGAGGAAUCGUUUCCCGCUCAGCUCCAAGCCAUGAGCCAACUCCGUCGUCUGCUCCGCCGACAGCCUCCCUCCGCUGCCGAAAGACACGUAAACAACCGAGUCACACGGCUGCUUGUCCAGCCACGUCAGCAACUCCGAUCCCACUACUUCAGCCUCUUUGUCUUUGGUUAAGGGUCCGAUGGGAUGAACCGUCGGCGUCGGCACGUUGACAAAGAAAGGAUGGUUUCUCAAUGCGUUCAACGUCACCGGCUCGAGUUCUUCCCAUGUGUUUACCAAAACGCCCUUGAGGAGCGGGAUCCGGUUGCAUAGAAGCAAGACUUCUGGGAUCAGAAGAUCAGGGACAAGGGCGUGCAACCCACAAGGGCGUGCAACCCGGAAGCAAAACCCUAUCUUUGAUUUUACCAUAGUCUCCCUUGACCUCUGCAUGAAGCGUAGGUAAGUAAGUGGUCAACGCCAAAUGUGAAGCGGAGGCGGUCAAGAAAAGAUACGUCGGGAUAGAGUAGCCGGCGGCGGUUUCAAGGGCUUCGAUGCAAAACGGAUCGACGAUCAGAGCCUUUACCGGUUUGUGCGAGUGUAAGUUGGCUAGCACCGACGGCAGUGAACGAAGGCUCUCUUGGACAAUGUGGACGAUCCGAACUAUAACAUUAUCACUGGUUGACACAUCAACAUGAGGGAGUUGGAUGACGUGCAGAUCGGAAGGGAGGGUGGGGUUGUUGUUGAGCAGCUGAAGCUGGGCGGGUGGUGCGUCGGUGGUGAUGGAGAGGAAGCUGACUUAGAAGCCGAGGUCGACGACCAGCCGUUUGGCUAGCUCGAGGAGAGGGGUCACGUGACCCAUUCCCGGAGCGGAGAGCAUCGCCACGUGCGGCUUCUGGGUGUCUUCUCCGUCCACCAGCGUCACCAUGUCGAUUAUAGAAGAGUAGAAGACAGAAGUGAGAAUACCAGAGAACUGGGUUUAUAUAUGAAGCAUACAUGAAGUUAAUCAUGAACCGGAAAGCCAACAAUACUAAACUAACAAAAGCUUAAGAAUAAGUAAAGAUGGAGUAUAAAGUGAAGAAUGAAUAGUUCAUAAAAAAAUCCCAACAUGUUCCUCGCGGAACCUAGGCUUCCACCAAGUCUUGUCUUCAUCUCUUUUUCUUUUUAUAAGAUCCUAAGUCUCAUGUUACUCAAUCUCUCAAUUCUCAAUUAUCACCCCACUACUGCUUAUGUAUAAUCUUGAAAGUAUGCAAAUAUAAUUACCUGCAAGAGAGUCGGAACGAUUCGAGUUAACUUAUUCUAUUUGUAGGCGAAGAGACUCUAUAAAAUAUGGUUACACAUAGCAUAUUAAUUUGUAUACAAUUACAACUUUAAAUUUCUUAUUACUCAAAAUGAGAACCUAACUCUUUGUCACAAAUGAGAAAUCAUUGUUAGGUACUAUAUGAGAUGGUGGUAAGCAUGGGGCCUUAAAAUGAUAGAUGUUAUAUAAAAUUUGAUAUCACCUAAUUAGAAGUUUUAGCUAAUCUAAUACCACUAGUCAUGCAUCCACAAAAGCUUUCCCUUAAAAAAAAACCGAAGCCAUGCCAGUGCGCUUUACUUGUGCUUGAAGAAUGAAGAGUAACGAAGACAAUUAGAAAGAUGAAUAUAAAAUCACAGUAACAUCAGGCAAUGGCUAUUGGCUAGCUGGACCUUGGCUUCAUGGGCUUGUCCGGUGCUUGUAAAGCACUUGUGUCGCAUGUCCAUUAAAACUUGUCAAAAGGCCCUAAUCGGAUACAGUGAACAUCUAUGCAGGAACAGUUCACUAUGGAGUUGGGUACAGCCGAUUAUUACUUAUAGUCCGGUGUCAAUGAUGACCUACCUUCCUAAAUAAUGGACGUGUAGACCUCGACGUCUUGUUUUUCUGAAAGAAAAAGCAAGCAGAGAGCUACUAGGGUUGUAUUCCUGUCCACAAUUUGGUUUCAGCAACCACGCAGAAGGGACCAACCUCUCUUCCUUACCACCACAAGUUACAGCUUUCAGAUUCCCACAAUUAUAUAGACUGUCUACUCCCACAUGCUCUGCCGAGACCAUCGUCUUCACCCUAACUUCAAACUUUGAUCACCCAUCUAAUCCAUAUCACCUUCGUCGUCAUCAUCGAUCAUAUAUGGUUCAUGCCUAAUAUUCGUAGUGCUCGAAUUGUCCUACACUCCUACAUUGAUCUACAGUUUGUGGGAAUAUGUCUCCUCAAAAAUGUAUCCUGGUGAGAUUAUUGUAAGUGUUUGCAUAAUUUGAUGUAUAAUUAUACGUGUAUCUGUGAGAUAAUCGUGUUUGAUCGAUAUUUCCAUGAUCCAUGCCAGUUGUAAGUACUUUUGCAAGGAAACUUCGGCCUGCUUUCAAGGCAAAAAAACUCAAAACAGAACAUCCACCCACCAGAAAGCAUGUGCACAAACUCCUGUGAGUGUAUGUAUACCAUACAACGCUGCACAACAUACAACGCUGCACAACAGACUCUCUCCUUUUGCAAUUGUCGAAAGGAGCUAGCAGUCCUCUCAUGUGUCAUACAUACUCUCAUUGAAAAUUAAGCUUUGCCCACACACAUGAAGUAAAAUAAGAUUGAGAUUGUUACACUGUAUUUUCAAAAUAUAUUUAUAUUUGGUCUAAAAAAACUUUAUAUAGCAUUUCGAUUUAGAAAGAUUUUAGUAUUUUCAGGACGAUGUUGAAAUCAAACAAUCAAUGUAAAAUGUCGAAAUCAUCAUAUGAUCCAUGAAAGAUGUCGAAAUCUAUGACGAAUUAGAUCAACCAUAUAAUCAUGGUUCGUAUUAUUCAUAUAUCUAUCGAUCAAUCAGCCCAUUAAAAUUCAAACCAAAAAAAGAAAAAAAAGGGAAAAAUACCAACCCAUUAAAAUGACCCCUGUAUAUCCAAAGUUCCAAAUACGGAACGAUCCUUAAGUUGGCGGGAACAAGUUCCUUUCACGUGGAAAAGUAUACGCCAGUUGUGAACUCAUGAUUGGUUUGGUUUGGAACAGAUUAAAUCCCGUGGGACCUGGAUUAUCCUGCCUGUCGUCUUCAGGGCCAACAUGUAAUCUAUCUUUACCAAAUGGGGCCCUUCGAGGAGUACAAAGUUCGACUACGUGAUGACGUGGCGGAAAGAGCUCCAGUUCUUUUUGAGGAGUCGUAGCUGGGAAAACUCCUAUCCACUUGUUACUCGAGUGGCCGAGAUUUGCCCUAGAACACCAAUCACGACCCAAUGCAUCUCCCCGAAGCGUAUACUCUAACAAAUUGCUUUAUCCAAAAAAAGAAAAGAAAAAAAAGAUAAAAGCAUUGCUAAUGAUGGAAAAAGAGAAAAAAUGAAAACAUUAAUCGGCCGACACAACUCACACAAGAUCAAAGCCAUCUUCUCUUCUUUAUGCUUCUCUGAUGUGGUUAAGUUCUUUCUCUAGUUGCGGUCUUGUACUGGCUUUAAAAUUUUGGUAUGGAUCAAUCACACCGUGAGUUACCAAGUAUGUGGUUUACUUAUCGACUAUAAUAUUGAUCGUAUUUUUAUUGAUCUUUUAAGUUUUUUAUGAUAAGUCGACAUCGUAUCAAAUUUAGCCUUUGUUAAGUUAAGAAAAUCACAUAAAACAUGAGAGAUCAGAUAGUUUGACGUUACCAAUUGCUAAAAGUAGAGAAGAAGAUGCAACAUGAUUGAAGUUAUAACACUUUUUCACAUGAAAAGGAAUAGCUUGACAUGUACAACUCGGGGAAGAAUUAAACUCUAUUUAUGAUCCAACAUUAUGUACACAACAAAGUAGUUAUGCUUGAACAAAAAGGCAGGAGAGCAGAUGAUCCUUCACGAGGGGAUUAGACUCAUUGAACUUAAAUAGUUUAAAGACAGGUGAACAUUUUUGAGUGUGACUAUGAAUCUGAAAGUAAUAACUAAUCUCGUGACUUUAUUUCGGUUAGUGUAUACGUAUGCAUGAAUUAUAUUAGUCAAUCUUACAUCUUUUAUUAUAAUGUUCAAUCAAGUAUUUUUUAUGAUUUGAGUUUAAUAAAAAAGAGAUAAUUCACAGACUUACUCCCUGCCCGUUGGUUUAUGGCUUGGUCUCUAUCCUUAUAUCAUCACCUUCAUUCUCUGAUUCUUCUUCUUUUGAUCAAAUCACAGGUUCUAUUUUGUAACAGAGUGCAAAUUAGGAUGGAAUAGUGACAAUGUUCCAUAAAUAUACAAAUGAAAGUACAGUAUAGAAUUAUCUUGAACAAAAGGGAAAGGGCCAAGCUAGUCAUCAUACAAGAGAGAUGAGAUCCAAUUAUCUUAUCCCAAACAUUAUGGUUAUGGUAAAUAAACCUCUUUAUGUAACACAAAUGUGACCCCCUAUUCUUCUCAUACCACACACCUUCUCCUCUACUCAUCCAAACUCUCCCAUAUGGCCUCUCUUGCCCAAAAUAACAGCAGGCGCCUUUCCAUAGCCAUGGAGCGAACUGGCCAAUGGUAUAACAAAGCACCACUCAAAACAUCAAUGUUUCGUUCUGUGUAUAGUUAAGAAGUUCAAUUCUGAAUUACUGAUCAUGAUCCUGUGCUUUGUUUUACAGGAUUUUCUCUCAAGAUAUCCCUGCAGAUGUAGUAGUCGAAGUUGGCGAAGCCAAUUUCUCAUUACACAAGGUACCACAAUCGAUCAAUACUCCGAUAAUUUCUGUGUUGAUCGAUAUUAUGCUUAUGUUCAUGUUAAGUUCAACAAAGAACUCGCUUCUGUGUAACAGUUCAUGCUAGUGGCCAAGAGCAACCGAAUAAGGCAACUGAUACUGGAAUCCGACGAACCAGACCUGACCCGAAUCAACCUCUCCGACAUUCCUGGAGGACCAGAGACGUUCGAGAAGGCAGCCAAGUUCUGCUACGGUGUCAACUUCGAAAUCACAGUCCACAACGUAGCUGCUCUCCGAUGCGCCGCCGAGUACCUCCAAAUGACUGAUAAGUACUGCGACAACAACCUCAGCGGCCGUACAGAGGAUUUCCUCACUCAGGUCGCCUUGUCCAGCCUCUCCGGCGCCAUUGUCGUCCUCAAAUCGUGUGAAGGCCUCACUCCCAUGGCUGAGGACCUCAAAAUCGUUCAGAGAUGUGUAGAAGUGGUCACUUCUAAGGUACAAAAUUGGCUGUGAACAGUGACAAUGGAUAUCUAAUUAACUUUCUUGCUUCGUGGUUGUAUAUCUAAUACAUGGUUGUUUACAGGUUACAAUAGAGGCAAACUUUCCGAGCAGAGCGCCGACGAACUGGUGGACGGAGGAGCUAUCUAUUUUGGACAUUGAAUUCUUUGGGAGAGUUAUAAAAUCCAUGAAGCAACGUGCUUCGAAAACUCUCACCGUAUCGAGCGCGAUCGUUACAUACGCAGAGAGAUGGCUCCGGGAUUUGAUCCGGGACCACUCCGGCGCCGGCACCAAGGCCUUGGACUCCGACGACUCCGACGUCAGAGUCCACCAGCGGGAACUUAUACAGUCCAUAGUGGCUCUCCUUCCUUCCGAGAAGGCCGCUCUACCGAUCAACUUCCUCUGCUGCCUUCUUAGAUCAGCGACGUUCGUCAAGGCCUCGACGGCAGCCAAGAACGAGCUGGAGAAGCGGAUCUCGGCGAUCUUGGAGCACGUGACAGUCGACGACCUGCUGGUGUUGUCGUUUACUUACGACGGCGAGAGGCUGUUCGAUCUGGAGAGCGUGAGGAGGAUUAUAUCGGGGUUUGUGGAGAGGGAGAAGAGCGUGGCGGUUUUUAACGCCGGUGACUUCAGAGAGGUGUGCUCCGCUGCGAUGCUUAGAGUUGCUAAGACUGUGGAUGCGUAUCUCGGCGAGAUAGCCACCUGUACCGAGCUUAGCAUAUCCAAGUUUAAUGGCAUCGCCGUCCUCGUCCCCAAAGGCGCGCGUAAAGUCGACGACGAUCUCUACCGGGCCGUUGACAUAUACUUGAAGGUAAAUACAUAACUUUAUGUUCUUUUUACUUUGUUUUUAUGUGUUUGAGAAUCACUAAUCAUACAAUGCAAUCCUCAUAGUCGGAGUAAAUUAAAAUGUUCAAAAUGUAAAAGUGAAGAGUGUCACGAUAGUUGGUGAUUAGGUGAUUUAGGUCCUCAAUUGGAGAAAGUAUGGAUCUUGUCCUGUAAUGUACAUUCGGUCACUAAUUGAACAAAAACUUUAUGCUCAAUCUCCCUUAGAUUUCGGGUGCCAGCGCGGUACUAGUGGCUGGUUUGAGAUUUGAUCAGCUAAUCUAAUUAGCUAAUUAAUGAUGUGCAGGCUCAUCCAAACCUUGAUGAGAUAGAGAGGGAGAAAGUGUGCAGUGUAAUGGAUGCGUUGAAGUUGUCGUACGAAGCGAGAUUGCAUGCUUCGCAAAAUAAGCGUUUGCCGGUACAGAUUGUGCUGCAUGCGCUCUACUACGACCAGCUCAAGCUAAGGAGCGGCGAAGAGGAGAACGAGACGCAAAUUGAUGCUGCAUCGACGAGAAAUCAGGUACAGGCCGACGUGUCGUUGGCUAAGGAAAACGAGGUCCUUAGAACAGAGCUACUGAAGAUGAAGAUGUACAUUUCAGACAUAAAAAAGAGUGGAGGUGGUGCGGGUGCAAGUGCAGCGACGACAUCGUCUGGGAAAGGCGGUGGGGGGCCGAGAAAGCCGACAUUUUUCUCGUCGGUGUCGAAGAAACUGGGGAAGUUGAAUCCCUUCAAAAAUGGGUCUAAGGAUACUUCCAACAUUGAUGAUUGUGUGGACGUUACCAAGCCUAGAAGAAGAAGGUUUUCCAUCUCUUAAUCAAGUUUGUUUUAAGCUUCUUCAGUUCUUCCUACUCGAUUAGUAACUGUACAUGUUUGCACUUUGUGGUGGUGAUGUUUUUUUUUUUCUUAUUCUUAUUUGUUCUCUCUGUUUUUUUUAUAUUUUUUUAUUGAGAUUUGUUAUCUGAAUUUUGGAGCACGCUUGCUCAAUUUGUGUAGUGAUGAAUAUAUAUAAAAAAUGUCUGCUAUGGAUGUAUUCUUGCGAUGAGUAUUUAUGUUGUUGAGACACCAACCAAGUGAGUGUGUUGGCAUGUGGAACGAUUGGAGGCUAAACUAGAGAUCGACUUAGAAUUUUCCUUGCGUGUUCUUGGAAUAAAAGAGAGAAUCAGAAUUCACUUUGGGUUUUCUUGGAAUAAAAGAGAGACUUAGAUUUCUCCAUAAAUAAUUAUCGCAGUUUCCAUAUUAAGAUCGAUUUACAGGAUGAACUACUUACUAUCUACGUACGUAUAUUAACGCUAUUGACUCUUUUCCUGAACAAAACAUGCAUGCACGGUGUAUCAUUGGCAAUAAAAUGUUCAUAUAACUUGAACUUCGAAGGCACUAAUACCCUUCUUGUAGGGAAAAUGAUUCUAGGCCUUAUUAAGGCCUAAGAUUUUAGGCCUUAAAUCUAUGUGGCAUGCCAAAUCACUUAGACACAUCACAUAUUAAAAAUCUUAUGCCAUGUAAUACUUAGGUAUAAAGACCAUCUUACCAUUUGGUCCAUUUCAAACAAUAUAUGACUAAUAAAUUUCAGUUUUUCAUUAAAAAUAAAACUAUUUUAGAUUUCCUUCUUCUAAAUAUCUAAUUAAAUAUAAAAAUAUAACAUCAAAAUAACAAUAUAUUAUAUAUUUAUAAUACAUGUAUAUUAUAAAAAAAAUACAUGUAUAUUAUAUAAAUAAUCUGUAUGUAAAUCAUUUAGAGAAAUUAUUUGUAUAUAAAUUAUUUUUUGAAUGAAUUAUAGAAAAUUUUGAUGAAUUAUAUCCGAAAUGCAUGUAUUAUUGAUUCUUGUAGUAAACCCUAAAGUAGUGAUCUUUCGUAUUCAUGAAGGACGGAAAAAGAUACAAAUAUUAGUUUUUGAGUUUAGAAAUUUAAUAACCCACGAUUUAAUAAUCUUCAUUAGGAUCAUUGUAUCAUUCAAGUGUAAAUUAUCGAUAGGUGUCACCCUCUUAAGGUUAUAUGAAAAAAAAAUUAUAAUUAAUUAAUUAACAAUAAAUCAUGAAUCAAUAAAUAAUCUUUCAAUAACCUUAAGAAAAUAUAUCCCGUAGAAAGAAUCUCGGGUUUCCACUGGAUUUGCAGUUUGGGAUUACGGGCAACGGCUUAUCGGUACUCAUCUCUUUGACUCGGAAUCUAUGUCGACAUCUCAGCAAACGACGGCGAUAGUGAUAACGGAGGUUGCGGCAGUAGUUUGGCUUGGUCUUGAUGUUGGUGGCUAUAUUAGAGUAGAUGAUGAUGUUGUAAUUUUAGCUUUAUUUUUAGAGUUUACCCUCUUUUAUUCUAUUCAUGUGGAUUUUUUUUUAAAGGGUUUGAAAUCCAACUAAGCUGGGAAGUUCAGCCCUACGCCCGGUUCCAGUUAUUUUAUUGAAAAAAGAGAAACAAAAUAGUACAUAAAGGGAGAGGGGGACAUAGACCAAAACCUCUCCCGAAAAAAGAAGAACAAUACAAAAACCUGUGAUCUACUAAGGACAAAGAACAACGAAGAACACAUUUAUUUAUGUGGAUUGGACUGAGUGAUAAAUUUAUCUAGUUAUUGUAUUAUGGGCCUUUUUGAUUUCUACUGGGUUUCAUCCCCUUAGAACUAUAAUUGCGGCUAUUGAGACCUUCAGAUUUNNNNNNNNNNNNNNNNNNNNCAUAGAAUAUCAUUAACCUCUAUUAUUUGAUCAAGUGUAAGAACGAUUUUUCGAUGACAACAAUUUAAAAAUAAAAUUUAUUCAAAUCAUGAAUCAUUUUCACAAUCAAUUACAAAGCAAUAAAAUACAUAAAUUAAUGAUAUGCACCCAUAAACCUUUGACCUAGAAGAAAACCCCAAGAAGGCUAAUCUCGUCGACCACCACUCCAUGAAGCAAGUCCUCGAGGAGAAUAUUCAUUCACAAUAACUAUUAAAGUAAGAUCUUUCUCUUGUAGAAUAACGAUGACAGUUUUAGAUUAUUGUUACAGAAAAAAAAACUUUAAAAUAUUAUCCAUAUGCACCCAAAAACCUUCGAUCUAGAAGAAAAACCCUAAGAAGGCCAAUCUCGUCAACCACCACUCUAUGAAGCAUGUCCUCGAGGAGAAGAUUCCUUCAUAAGAAGAAGAACAAGAUGAGGAAGAAGAAUACCAAGAAGACGUUUCCUAAACUAAACAAAAAUCAGGAGGAAGAAAAAGAAUAACAUAUCAUGAAUCGAAACAAAAAUUAUAUUAGUAUUUAAAAGAUACAAUCCCUGAAGGUUUUGAAACAGAGGAUUGUGUUUUCGUCAAUAGAGAUUCUUCCAUUAGGUGUAGUAGUUUUUUGAGCAACGGUUACACUCAGGUUUAAGUUUUUGUAUCGUUAACUUGAACAAAAAAAAGAAAAAAAGAAUACUAAUCUGAUUACAAAUUUUGUGUGUGUGAAAUUUAAUGUUUAUUACUGUCAUUUUGUAUGAGGUUAUAUUUGUAAUCCAAUAAGUCAAAACAAGUGGAAAUAUAUUGAGCAAAUCUAGAUGUCCCAAUAACCGCAUUCUAGAACUAUCAAUGAAAUUUUUCAUUAAUUCUAAAAUAAUAAUAAUAAUAAUAAUCUCGAGUUAAGUUCAUCAUGUCAUGAGGCAAAACCUUUAAAUAACCAAUUCUCACCGAAAUUCUCCGUAAUAAAACCCUAGCCCCCGGAGGAAGAUGGUACUAAUCACAAUGAAGAGCUCUGACCCCAAUGGAAAAAGCUUCGAGGUUGAAGAGUCUGCUGCCUUAGCAUCCCAGACCAUCAAACAUACAUGAUUGAGGAUCUUGAAGAUCCCAUUCUUGAGAUUACUAUCCCCCAAGUGACAAGCACAAUCCUUGCCAAAGUAGUCGAUUACUUCAAUAUUCAAUAUGCACGACCCAGACAACGUUGCCCGUGUUGGCAUCAAUUGUGUAAAUAGAUUCGACACCUACUUUGUGAGUGUAUACAAGAACACACUCUUUGAUCUCAUCAAGGCAGCAAGCUUUCUUUGCAUUAAGGGCAUGAUGAAUAUCACCCUCGACGCUGUGGUUGAGUUCACUGGAAGCAUGAGUAUGGAUGAACUACGAGAGUAUUUCAACGUCAAGGAACAACUAUUGGAUUAAGAGGAUAGUACUUGGAUAUACGACUAUGUUUAUUCCACCCCAGAAUUGAAGCCUUUCGAGUCACUGCAAACAUUCUUAUAUUCGGUGAGGGAAGAAAGCAAUGGCAGGGCUCUACCUCAACGUGAUAUUAUAAUCAGCAACAUUACCAGCCCCAUAGAUAUUGACAUAUACAAAGCAAUACAUUAUGAGGUUAUCCUCAGCAAUGUGAUUUAUGAGAGAGCCGAUCAGUUGCGUUGGUCGAGGUACGAGCCUUUUGUUGGAACAUGCCCUAAAGUAUAUGACCAAUGUUUUGAAGUCGAAAGCGAAGACGAAGGCGACAUGUAAAGCUUUUCCUUUCUCUGUGAGGUUUUGUUUUGUAGUUUGUUUCUGUAAAUCUUUUUUUAUCAAUAAAAAAAAAUUGAGGUAUGUAUUUGAAUGCUACAUGAAAGUAUCUAUAUCAACAAUGAAGAAAUAAUAAGAAAAAUGGAGCUUCUAUUCAUACCUCCAUAAAUUGAGCUUAUAUUCAUACCUCCAACAAUUUUCUCAGUUAAAAUGCUGACGUGGCCGUUAAAAACAUUAAAAAAUUUAACGGCCACGUCAACAAUCUAACUGAGAAAAUUGACGGAAGGACUAUCUGGAAGGAGAAUUGUGACUUUAAGGACCAUUCAGAUUAAAAUAAAAUCAUAAGGACUGAAGAAAUGUCGAUUUCAAAUUAUAAAGACUAUAUAAUAUUAUUUAACCCUAUAUAUAUCAUAUGUCAUUUGUCAUACACAAUCAUCACAACAACUAUGUAUAUAUGUCUUCCACUUGGUACUGUUCGGUCUGGGUUAUUAACUCUAUUUUGCAUAUCUUGAUUAUCAUAUAGAUCUCUCAUAUGUGUAUUUGAUACUCAACACCUCUUUGAUUCUGAAGUAGUGGAAUAAAAUAAGUAAACUUAAUUUAUAAGAAUAGAGAAAACCUGACCAUUAUUAUAAUGGAGGAAAUCGAUAUUGGAUAAACAAAACCACGAUUAGUGGUAUGAAUAGGAUGUGAAAUUUUCAAAAAUUGAAGAAGGUCCAACUACCGAUUUGGAGGUAUAUAUAAAUAAAGGUAAAAGUUAUAAAUUGUCCCCGUGGUUUGGGGUCACGGUUAUGUUUGCCUCUGUGGUUUAAAAAUGUCUAAUAUUGGUCCUCGUGUUUUAUAUAUCGACUAAUUUUAGUCAAAUUAUAACAUUUUGUCUAACAUCGUUAGUAAAGUCUUCACAUGUUUGUCACAUGCUUGGUUUAAUUUCGUCUUUUGCUUUCAAACCUUAGACACCUAUUACUUAUUAACCACUGUUAUCUUGCAUCGAUCAUUUUCAUGAUGUUGCUGACUACGUACGUUAACUCAUGUUUGUUUUUCUUGUUCAAUGUCAAUAAGUUCUUGUGCUAAAUCAAUUUGCAAUCAACUCUUACUAAUAUCAAUAUAUUUUCUGUCAUGAAAUACUGAACUAAUACAUAAUGAAAUAUAUGAGGGAGACACAACUGAACGUAUUGCAGCAAAUUAUGCAUACUUAAUUGAGAAUCAUCCCAAGCAUCCACAAUAGUGUCAAACUCUUUUAUUAUGCUAAGCAUGUUGACAUUUCAUUCUUAAAAUUCUUAAGUAUCAAAAUAGGCUAAUGAAUCGUUAAAAAAAAAAAAAUGCAGCCACAAAAGUAAUAUCGUGAAAAGGAUCGGUGCCAGUGGUUAACAAGUAAUAUGUGUCUAAGGUUUAAAGACAAAAGACGAAAUUAAACCCAACAUGUGACGGGCAUGUGAGGACCUCACUAACGGUGUUAGACAAAAUGUUAUAAUUGGAUCAAACUUAGUCGAUAUAUAAAACACGAGGACCAACAUUAGACAUUUUUAAACUAUGGGAGCAAACAUAACCAUGACUCCAAACCACGGGGACCGUUUAUAACUUUUACCCUAUAAAUACAAGAGUGGAGGAAACAAAAAUGUAUUUAUUGAUUUUAGAAAAAAUUUCAGUUUACCCCCUUAAUCUUUGGUGGGAAAAUCAGUUCAGUCAUGUAACUUUUUUUUAAAUCAGUUCGCCCCUUCAACUUUCGUAAACACAUCAGUUUUGCCCAAUUUUUGAAUUCCCCUUAAAAUAUGACGUUACCAGACUGACAAGAGGACCCAUUUUUAACAAAAUGUCUAAAAUGCCCUCAUUUUUUUGCCAAAUAAAUAUAUAUUUUUUAUUUUCUUUAAUAAUAUCUUCUCAAAUUGACUAUUUUACCCUUCAGUUUAGUGAAAAUGGGUCCCCUUGUCAGUUUGGUGACAUCGUAUUUUGAGAGGAAUUCAAAAAUUGGGCAAAACUGAUGUGUUUACGAAAGUUGAAGGAGCGAACUGAUUUUAAAAAAGGUUGCAGGACUGAACUGAUUUUGACACCAAAAAUUAAAGGGUAAACUGAAUUUAAUUCUUGAUUUUAUUUGCUGUGGGCAUUCUAGAAAAAUAGGGAGGUUUAAAUAACAAAUUGUUCAUUUGUAAAAGUAAAUAAGAGGUCUCUUAAGUUAGAAGGUCCAAAUGCUAAUUUUGGAGGUACGAAUAGAAGCUCAAAUUUGCAAACCCAAAGAUCCUUGACAUUCGCCACAACAAACAUCUAGUUUUUCAGUUCGAUCAAACAUCUUAGGCCGUGAUUAUGUAUCACCACGAUCUUCAUAUCCAUGCUUUUGGUUGAGGAUACAAAUUCAAUAUAACAAUCCGAAUAAUCUGGGCCGGUCCAGUAAUCACUACAACUUGGGCCAAAUUCAAAAAGCCCAAAACAAUUCAUGCCACGAUUCCGAGUCGGAGUCGGGUCGAGGCGGUGGAGCAACAAUAAAUACCCCUCACCCGGAAUAAUCCACUUUCUUGUUGCCUACUCUAAUUUCCCAGUACUCUCUAAAACCAAAAACAAAUCAGAAACCCUAGAAAACCAAAAAGCCAGCAAAACCUGCAAUCAACGAUGGCGUCAGCGAUGGUUCUGGACCCGAAACCCCUACCGGAGCCACCGGCCUCGGUUCCCUCCCUCAGAUCCGACCCGGCCUUCACCGACCCGACCUCCUCCGACGAGGACUCCGACCUCUACAGCCGUCUCAAGGCGCUGCAACGCCAGAACGAGUUCAUCGACAUCAAGGAGGAGUACGUCAAGGACGAGCAGAAGAAUCUGAAGCGGGAGAUGCUCCGGUCGCAGGAGGAGGUGAAGCGGAUCCAGUCGGUGCCGCUGGUGAUCGGUCAGUUUCUGGAGAUGGUGGACGAGAACCACGGCAUUGUGGGGUCCACGACGGGCUCGAAUUACUAUGUGAGGAUUCUGAGUACGAUUAACCGGGAGCAUCUGAAGCCCUCGGCGUCGGUGGCCUUGCACCGCCACUCCAAUGCUCUUGUGGAUGUUCUGCCGCCGGAAGCGGACUCGAGUAUCUCGCUGCUCAGCCAGUCGGAGAAGCCUGACGUCACCUACAGCGUAAGAUAUGCGCAAUCCGUUAUUUUGUUUUUGUUGAGAUUGGAUUGGGGAUUUUAGGGUUUUGUGUUUGUGUGCGGAACUAGUUAAGAGAGCAUUAAACGGAAGCAAUUGAAAUUGGAUUAUGGAUUUUAGGGUUUUCUAUUUGGUAGGGAACUUGUUAAAGUUGAAAGGUUUAAAUAAACAGCAAUAAUUGGAAUCAAUUGGGGAUUUUUGCUGAGCUAAUCGCUUCUCUUAGUUGUAUGUGCACUAAAAGUCUAUCCAGUCAAGUAUAAAUGUUGAGGUGAAGUUUAGGAGAAGGCAUUAAUCGGAGGCUAUUGGGCUUUUGAGUUCAGGAAUUUAAGAAAAUGCUGUUGUCAUGUGCUGUAGCUGUAGCUUUACCUAAGCGAGUUUGAAUCCGUUUUGUUGUUUUUGUUGUUGAAAUUGGAUUAGGGAUAUUAGGGUUUUCUUUUUGUUUGCGGAACUAGCUAAAAUUGAAGUGAAAAGCAUUGAUUGGAUGCAAUUGAAAUUGGAUUAGAUAUUUGAGGGUUAUCUAUUUGUUUGGGGAAACUAGGUAAAAGUGAAAUAGAAAGCAUCAGUUGGAACCAUUUGGGGCUUUAGCUGAGCUGAUAGCUUCUCUUAGUCUCUUAAGGGUGAAAUUUAGGAGAAGGCAUUAAUCAGAAGCAACUGAGGUUGAGUUCUUGAUUUUAACUAAAUUCAUGUGGCAUUUGUUGUAGCUUUAGCUUAGCUAACUGUUGCUGAGAGGGUUUGUUCUAUUAGUUUUGGGAAAAAUUCAACCUUGGACCCCUUGGUCGAGUACAAGUGUUAAGGUUGACACUCGAGCUUUUCUUGUCGCGAUAUGCAUAUAUUUGAUUAAGUUUAAAUGAAAGAAUUAUGUUAGUUUCAUAGCUGUAGUUCAGAUAACGAAAUCUUAGUUUAGGGGUUCCCAUUUUACUACUAAGUUGCAUCUCUGUAUAGAGGCAAUUCCUAUUGGUUUGUUGUUCUAAUUGGUGGUCUCAGAAUUUGAUUUUGAACAUGUCUAUUUCUAUGAUUCAUCUGUUUGCUAAAUACCAGUUGAGCUGUUUUGUUCCAUAAUAACAUGGCACUGUAAUACUGAUUUAUCAUAUUCUAUGUUUUAGGAUAUUGGAGGGUGUGAUAUUCAGAAGCAAGAAAUCCGUGAAGCAGUGGAACUUCCACUUACUCACCAUGACUUAUACAAACAGAUUGGAAUAGACCCUCCACGUGGUGUGUUGCUCUAUGGUCCUCCUGGAACUGGUAAAACCAUGCUAGCUAAGGCUGUUGCUAACUCUACAACUGCUGCCUUCAUCAGAGUUGUUGGUUCAGAAUUUGUUCAGAAGUACUUGGGAGAGGUAGGAUAAUCUGUAAAACUUUCAUUCUUAUCUUACUUUGGCUGCCCUAUUUUUUAUGUCUUUCAUUUAGAAUUUCCCUCAGUGUAGGAGGUUUCGAUUGUAUAUAGUAAUUCUUAUCAAACUUUGUUUGCUUUGUCUAGGGUCCACGAAUGGUUCGUGAUGUUUUCCGUCUUGCCAAGGAGAAUGCACCUGCCAUUAUCUUUAUUGAUGAGGUUGAUGCUAUUGCUACUGCAAGGUUUGAUGCUCAAACUGGAGCUGAUAGAGAAGUUCAGCGAAUCCUAAUGGAGCUCCUCAAUCAGGUAGGUCCAGGAAUUUUUUGUUAUAAUGUGUAGAGCUUUUGAUUAUAUAGAAGUUUAUAUCUAUUUGACUUAGAUAUGCAAACAUACCUUUUGGAAUUGAAGAAGAUAUUUUGUAAUAGCAACUUUUGGCACCGUAUUGCUUUAUUUCUUGCCAGCUCUCAAGUUAAUUAGGAACUGUUAUCUUUUGCAGAUGGAUGGGUUUGACCAGACUGUAAAUGUUAAGGUCAUAAUGGCUACUAAUAGGGCAGACACUUUGGAUCCUGCACUUCUGCGUCCCGGAAGGCUUGACCGUAAGAUUGAAUUUCCUCUGCCUGAUAGGCGACAGAAAAGACUUGUUUUUCAGGCAAGUAUAAUCCAUAUCUCUCCGUGAAUGAUUUGUUCUAGAAUCACUCUUGGGAACUUCUACAAAGUUUUUGUAGAGUAAUCUAAUUCAAGUUUCUUGCUUAUCCUGCAGGUUUGCACUGCUAAAAUGAACUUGAGUGAUGAGGUAGACUUGGAAGAUUAUGUUUCUCGGCCAGAUAAAAUCAGUGCUGCUGAGGUGAGUUGUGAUUUUCUGUUAGAAUUGAAAUAUUUUACUUGUUAUCGUUAUCUGCUAUAAGAGUUUAAUCUUGUUCUCCGUAGUGGGUUAGGCUACUGAAAUAGUAUCAACGUACAAAUAAUGAUUCGCAUUAUUGUUAUGUUUAAAGUUCCUAUGGGAUGAAUGACAAAUCUUGCAGCAUUUCAUAUUGCACCAUUGUUUUCAGUACGGUAACUAAUAGUCUAAUACAUAUGUCCUACAGAUUACAGCUAUAUGUCAAGAAGCCGGAAUGCAUGCUGUCCGCAAGAACCGAUAUGUCAUCCUCCCAAAGGACUUUGAAAAGGGUUAUCAAACCAAUGUGAAGAAGCCUGAUACUGACUUUGAGUUCUACAAAUGAUCGGGUGCUUUCAAGUUCUGGAAGUUCAUAUUACUUGGACACUAGAGUUGCUGGAGAGGCUCUGUUAUAUCAUGUAGUUGCAUAUCUGGUUCUGUGCCAUUACAGUUCACUGGAAAGCUUUUUUAAAUUCUUGUCAUGUAUGAUCCUGAGCUCUCAAGUGAAACUAUACUGUUGUUUAUUGUGAUAGUGCAGUUCUUCUAGCUUUGUACUUGAUUAUUCUCCCUCGGUCUCAGCAUGUGUCAAGUUUCUUACUCCCUCAUCCAGUAUUUGUGUUCAGGCUGUUCCAAAUUCACUUGCUGUUAAAAACAAAGCUUCAUAAACGAAUAGAAGGAUUUGGUAGGGUCCCAGUUUGAAAUCCAACUUCUUCAAUUAUCUUCUCUUCUUCAUCAGUGAAUUUUCCCUUGUGUGUUUUAAAAAUUCGUUCUUGAUUCUGCAUUGUAAAAGGAAUCAAGAUCAUUUUGGCUGUUAGGUUGUGAUCAAUUUUCUAAAUGGGGACCCUGAGCAUUACCCCAGUCCUAUACUAUACUAGACUACCUAAUUUAUGGAACCAUGUGCUCUUGAAUUAACAUCAAGAGAAGAUGCUCUAGAAGGUAACCUCAUAUUAAAUCUUUAGGGUCCCCUUCAUGAGGUGUUGCUCUACCUUAAGAAUGAUAGAGUUUACAAAGAAUUGGAAACAACAUGCAAUAGACACACUUCAAUUCUUUCUUGCAAUUCUAUUUCUCACUAGUCAUUACUUCUCAUUCAUUGCAUUCUCAUUCUGUUCAAGAGUGUUCUCUCACUUCGUUCUUUAAAAAAAUAGAAAGAUAGUCUUCGGAGUCUCAUUUUCACGUUCGAAACAAGUAACAAGUAACAAGUUCACUUGAUAAGAUAUGUAACAUGAGUUUUUCGAGUCGUUAGAAUUGACAGGCCCGCUCACCUGCGGGACAACUUUUACGGGACAAAACGGGAUAGCUAGCUUAUAACCAUUUGAUUUAAAUGAAUCAGAUCCAACGGCUGAAAAGGACUCCACAAACCUUUGUGAAUCCACACAACCCACACCGAAUUCAUUUCCCAUCUUCUUCCUUCGUUGCUCCCUUUCUAUCCUUCUCUCCCUGUAUAUGCUCAUCUGGAUUUCCACAACUUUUUAAAUUCUGGGUUUAGCUAAAACCCAUGAUUCAUUCUUUUCUGAUCUACAAGUACCCAAGAUCAUUGCUUUAUUGAAGUAGGAUGCUUCAAAUUUGGAUUAAAUCCAAAGGGAUGAACUUAUGAUCUCAUCCAUGAUUUCAUUAUUGGUGCAUAAAUUUCUGCCUUAGAUAUGAGAUUAAAUUGGAAGAUCAAAUUGGGUAUGGAAGGAGUGAAGCCGGAAGUGAAGGUUUUGCAUGACUUGCAGCAGUGGCUUUAGUGGUGGCGGCCAUCUUUAUGAAAUCUCACUGUAGUUUUUUGUGGUGUUUGUAAUUAACCUUGUGCAUCUGUAGUCUUGCCUCAUGGAAUCAUGUUCCAUCUAACUUGUCUCGGGGUUUCCUUUCCCAUAUCUGAAGAUUUUAGAAGAUGGAGGUGAAGAGGUAAUGUGUUUGAGACCUGGGUUGGAAUGAUGAACAGAAGAGUUUUAGUUUAAUGAUUUAGAGCCAUUAGAUCUAAACUAACCAAAUCGGAGGGCUGAUAUCAUUUCGUCCCGUAAAAAUCGUCCCGCAAGUGAGCGGGCCUGUUAGAAUUGAUAUCUUAACAGCAGGUAAUGCAUUUGAUAAAAUACCUCUGAAAAUCUUUUCAUUUCUCCUAAAAAGAAAAGCAAGACAUGGGUCUAUAUUGCAUAAUCAUAUGGUCAUACGGGGGACCUCAUGUUGGCACAGCACCACUCAUGAGUAAGUAAGCUCUCACUCUCAGUAGUCAUGGCCCUGCUGUGGUCUGUGGCCUCAUAGAGAUCUGAGCUUGACCAUUGAGUGCAUGCUGCAACUCCUUUAUUUCCCUCUCCUCUCUUUCACGCAUUCUAGUAUUCUACUGUGUGAAGAGUGAAGAGUUCAAAUUACAAGCACAAAUUGAGUCAAAAUAAGCAAAAAGUAAAACCCCAGAUCAAGUCAGAUCGAGCAGACCGUUCAGUCUGAAAGCCAUCAUACGAUUUCACAUGAUCAAUCAUUUUCUUUGUCCACCAAAAAUGCAAAACAUAUUUUAAAAGCUUCAAGGUCUGCAUAUGAUCUGCAUUACUUGUCACUCUUAAAAACAUUCAUGGGUUCUUCACUGCCAAGCUGUGAGAAUGAUUAGGGACUAAGACUGGUGGAGAUAUAUUAAACUUAGAACAAGGACUUGAUCUAUGAAUGAAUAUUAAAUCCAUGUGAGUUUUGUCUAUUCUAUUGUGUUCUUUAUCAGUAAUGUAGUGCAUCACACAGCUUUGAAUAUUCCAUAUAAAACCAAUUUGGAUAAAACAUAAUAAAUACAAACAGAGUCAGAUUGUUAAUGUAGCUUUCCAACCUACAACAUUGAAUCCUAGAGAUACCCGAAGUCCUGCUGUUUUUGAAGUAGAAAAUUCAAUUUUUCAGUUCAAGAAAAUUCUUCUGCCUACUCAUGAGUAACAUGAAUGCUUAAUCAUGAAUCUUUUGAGGCAAUUAAGUUGCUAAUGAGACAUCAUGAUGACAAAGGUCAAAACUUCUCAUUCAUAGUUCACAUAGCAGAGUUAGUCAGUUAGAAUGCUUAUUCAAGAUAUUUAGACUCUCCUUUUUUUCUUUUUUUUUUGAAACAUAACCCAUAAUUUCUAGCAUUUAUCAAGUAGUGCUUGAACCCUCUCUACUACUACUGAAAUCCCCUUUAAAGUAAAUGGUAAAAUUUGGAGUAUUUCUACAAAUUUUCUAAGAUUAGGCAUUUCUUUUCCUUAUGCAGACAAAUUUAAGUUUUUCUUUUCUAAUUUUCACCAUUGGGAACUUGAGUUGACAAAAUUAAUAAAAUUUGUAAUCUGGAGAAGGUAUAGUACCUGCUCUGAAUUCAUGUGGUCUUAUUUCUUUUCUUUCUUUUUGUUUGGAAUUCUUCUACUUGGCAUGGGGUACAAGGUAAGGUGAGCAUGCAGAUGAUGCAUGAGAGAUCUCAACCUAAUAAUGGUAGGUUGAGGGUGGUUGGUUAUAAAAUAGAAAAGAUUGGGAGUUGUUGGAUCAAGGUGUGUCAUCAAAAAUUGUUGAUUGUUCUCUCUACCCACAGCUCAUGAGUAUAUUAUUCAAGAUUUUGUGUCUCAUUAAUCUGUAACCUUGGCUCAUUUCUCAUCUAAAUUGAUCCUAUAUACAUCUGCCUCAAAAUGACACUUCAAAUACCCCACCAAAUGGCAAUGUAGCUAGCCUUCUUUAAGUGCCCCCAAUACUGAAUUGAAAUUGUGUUACUUGGUAGGUUUCAAUUAUGUUUGAUUAGUACUGGAGAUGGUAUGAAUAUUGAAGCUUGACAUUGAAAUUUUGACAUGUAAAAGUAUCAAGUAAUGAGUUGUAUAUGUGAUUCAAAAUAAUUUGAAAACCCUCUAAGCAGAUGAAGUCUGCAGCAGGAAACCUCAUUGACUUUAAAGGACCCUUUCCCAUUCCUCCGCUAUGAAAUAUGAUGAAGCAAAAGAAGGGGGAGCAGCUGCUGCCACUCAAUGCAGGUUGGCCCUGCCAAUCUGGGAAUUUGAAUAAUGAAAGUCCAUAUAAAACACCAAGUACUUUUUUCUGCUUCGACUUCUUGCUGUAACACUCUUUUAACAGUGAACGAUCAUGAAUUAUUCUUCUUGAAAGUAUGUUGAAAAAUUUCUCAAAUAAACUUCCAAGCGUAGGAGAAUUAUAGAAAUGUAGUUAUUUUUUCGCUAAAACUCUUUAUACAUCACGAUAUCACCCAUUUUCGAAAGUAAACUAAAUUCUCCAUUGAUACAUAGUGUGUGUAAGUAUAAAUUUGUAUAAUCUUGAUGCUGUUUUAAGCAGUUGGGGAAAUACACACUAUUGACAUGUCAUAAACUUGGAUUUGCAUUUCAAUUCCUUCUUUUUCCUCCAAGUCAAAGACACGAUGAAUGCUACUAUAAUGAUGUUACCUUUCUGUUUGUAAUUGAAAGGUACUUGCAUAUGGCAUAUUUGAUCUCUCUAAUUACAUAUAUUCCCAUCAGUUCCAUAUUUGUUAACAAGCUUCUACCAAAACAUAUGCCAACCUUAAUUUAUUAUUGGAUUUGGCAGGUUGGUGUGCCAAAAUCCAAGAAUAUUAGUGUUAAUCUUAAUUUAGGGAAUGUAAUGCAUGCAUAACCCUAAUACACUUGGGUGCUAGCUAGGAUUAGUAGGAACUAGGAAGGUCAUUUGAAUAGAAACCAGUCUGGAACUUUGAAUAGAAACAAGUCUGGAACUGAAGAGUGAAGACCUAGUUGAUGAUAAAAGCACCCAAACUCCAAAUGAUGACAAUAAACAAACAAACAAAACGGUCUUAACCACAACAAUCAAGAUUGUAUAUUAUAUGGUAUGUAUUUAAGCACUAACCUGACAAUGAGCUGUAAAUUUAAAUAUUCUAAGUCUACAAAACGUUUUUCUUGCAACAAGAUGUUGAUUAGUAGACUGUUAAACUCAAGAGUUGAUCAAAACUCUUAAGCACUCACAUGAAAUGAGGUAUAAAUAAGACCGAUUAUAAGUUUGAAGAACGUUAUCUUUUUCUUUUUGUGUGACAUGUUAUGUCGUUGAGCUGUUAAACUCGAUUAAUAAACUUAUUAUUAACUGAUAGGUGAUUAUGUUUAGUUUUAUACAUUGUGUAUAUAUUUUUUUUUUGAGAGGGAUUCAUUGUGUAUAUAUAGUUGUAUACUGUAUAGAAAAAUGAUACUACUUUUGAGCUAGCUGUCUCUGUAAGUAGUAAGAGUGAGGCUCUCUCACUUGGCUGGCAAACACUAGUUCAAUCCUCUUCAGUCUUCUUCACCUCCUUUGUUCUCUGUUUUGUCCCUUCAAUUCAUCUUCUUUCUCCUUUUUCCUUUCUCAAUUCAAACCCAAAAAUUCCUUUUUGCGUCUCCAAAACAAACUUUCUCUUUCUUUUUUAUCAGUGUAUAAGAAAAUGAAUAGAAAUACGUUUCCUGCUCAAAGUCUCAAACUUGCUACUCCCAACUAUUAAAAUCAUGCUCAAUUCUCACCAAAUCCUCAUAAAGUCUCAGACUUGUCGCUCCCAAUGGUUAUUCCAAGUACCCACAUUAAGCUGAGUGCUAAACUUGGAAGAAAUCUCUAAUGUCUGGAUCUGAAGCUACCCCAUUCACCUCAGCUCUCUCUGCAUUCUUGGAUUUUGCAGACUGCAGGUUACCAUCUUCAUCUUUUUUGAUUGCUUAUAGAUCUGACUUGUUAUUUAUUGCCAUUGUUAAGAGUGUUUUGAAUUCUGACAGUAUUGGGAUUAGAAAGUGAGGAUCUUAUCCUUGCAUGAAUGCUUUAGUUUGUAGCUCUGCAACUUAAGUUGUGUUCUGGUUUAAAUCCAUUAAUGGUUUCUCAAUUGCAUUCGUUUCUUCUGGAUAGUUGUGUUGAAUUUGGUCAAUGUGCUUGGUUUUAGAACAAACCCACUGAACAAACCCACUUUCGUGUAAUGUGUAGUUUAGGUUUAGUUUGGUGAAUUCAACUUAAUUCAGUUCUUCUGUGGUUGUUAAACAACUCUAAGUUAUCAAAUUGUGCACAAUUCUGCUAAUUUAUAUUGUUGUGUUAGGAAUUGGCUUGUACAGCAGUUUACAAAAGGGUGUUUUAACUUUCUCACCCACUUGUAUAUGAUAAUAAUUUGAACUCCCAACAGAUAUGUACCUAUACAUAGUUCUCUGAUUAAGUGAGAACUGACAUUUCAGAUUAGCAAAUUUAGCAUUACUGCAACUCUGUAUUUACAUUUCAGAAUUUGAUUUUCAUGUCCUGUGCUUUGCUUUGCUGUUGUUGUCAAAGGAAAAGUGUGUGUCUAUUUUCGUAGUUAUUGACCACCUGAUUUUUUUUUGUGUGGUUUUCUUACUGAACCAGGAGAUCAUGAGCGCCGAAGAUAUACUUUCAAAUUUCUAGUCCUUUUCAUAGACUCCGGUCUCAAUCAAUAAUGAAGCCCUGUCCCUUUUCAGUUGUUUCUUUCGUUUUUGUCAUUGCCAUUCUUCUUCCUCUGGUUUUCUCUGAUUUAAAUUCUGAUAAGCAAGCCCUUCUUGACUUUGCUAAUGCUGUUCCCCAUCGCCGUAACCUUACUUGGGACCCUUCUACCUCAGUCUGCUCCUGGGUUGGCAUCAUUUGCAGUCCAAACAGAACUAGAGUGAUUUCUGUCCGUCUCCCAGGAAUUGGACUUAUAGGUUCUAUCCCAUCAUACACCCUGGGCAAACUUGAUGCCCUCAAGAAUCUCAGCCUUCGAUCCAACCGCCUCAGUGGUAGCCUUCCAUCUGAUAUAACCUCCCUCCCAAUGCUCCAGUACCUAUAUGUCCAGCGGAACAACUUCUCUGGUGAUAUUCCUUCUUCCGUUCCAGUUCAACUCAAUGUGUUGGAUCUAUCAUUUAAUUCUUUCACAGGCAACAUUCCGCAAAUGGUACGUAAUUUAACUCAACUCACAACAUUGUACCUCCAGAACAACUCCCUUUCUGGACCAAUACCUGAUCUCAACCUACCUAAGCUAAAGCGUUUGGAUUUAAGCUACAACCAUCUUAAUGGCUCUAUCCCAUCAUCCCUUGAAGGGUUCCCUACUUCAUCCUUUGCGGGAAACUCUCUAUGUGGUGGACCUCUUAAAGCUUGCACCCUCGUACUUCCUCCACCACCUCCGACCUCCUUUUCACCGCCAGCAGCAGUUCCUCAUAAAGGCUCCAAAUUGAAGCUGAAAAUGGGAUAUAUCAUUGCUAUAGCAGCUGGAGGGUCUGUGCUACUGUUGCUUUUAGGCCUCAUUAUAGUUCUCUGCUGUAUGAAGAAAAAAGACAAUGGAAGAACUAAUGUAUUGAAAGGGAAGGCUCCUACUGGUGGGAGGAGUGAGAAGCCCAGAGAGGAGUUUGGCAGUGGGGUGCAAGAACCUGAGAAGAACAAACUAGUAUUUUUUGAAGGUUGUUCAUACAAUUUUGAUCUUGAUGAUCUGUUGAGGGCUUCCGCUGAAGUGUUGGGAAAAGGGAGUUAUGGUACAGCAUACAAAGCUGUCCUGGAGGAGGCAACAACAGUUGUAGUCAAAAGGCUGAAGGAAGUUGUCGUUGGGAAGAAGGACUUUGAACAGCAAAUGGAGAUUGUGGGAAGAGUUGGACAACACACAAAUGUUGUACCACUCCGUGCUUAUUAUUACUCAAAAGACGAGAAGCUUCUGGUGUAUGAUUAUAUCUCUAAUGGCAGCUUGUCAGCUUUUUUGCAUGGUAUGAUCCCUACUCUUUUGAAAAUGUUGUCAUGUAUAUUUAGUUUUAAUGGAUAUAUUUCUACCUUGUGGUAACACAAGAAUGUUUAUCUGAGUUGCCUGAUAUAUUAUUACUGUUUAAGUUCAUAAAGUAUCUAUUCUUUUGUUGAGUUUAAAAUGUGUGGAAAAACUUUCAAAUCUAAACUUCUUGCUAAGUAAACUGAGUCGAAGCUUUGCAGCUUUGUAUUUCAUUAAGGACUUUUAUAUCUUCUGCCCUAAAAUUUUUACUUCAGUUAUUGCUAAGUAAAAUGUUUACUACCAAACUCAUUGUUUACUUGGGCAACCUUGUCAUACUCGCUUUUCCUCGUCUUAGAGCUAGAGUUGUGAACUAGUGUGGAAGUUUAUAGGAUUUCAGCAGUCUGUUGAAGUGUUGUCUUGAACUAAAACUCAUAUUUUUUUUUUAUGACAGGAAACAGGGGAGGAGGAAGAACUCCAUUAGACUGGGAUUCGAGAAUAAAGAUUUCCCUUGGAACUGCAAGGGGAAUUGCCCACAUCCAUUCUGUGGGCGGUCCAAAGUUCACUCAUGGAAAUAUUAAGUCCACAAAUGUACUUCUCAGCCAAGAUCUUGAUGGGUGCAUCUCUGAUGUUGGUUUGACUCCUCUUAUGAAUGUUCCUGCCACUUCUCGGAGUGCAGGUUAUCGUGCUCCAGAGGUAAUUGAAACUCGUAAGCACUCUCACAAAUCAGAUGUGUAUAGCUUCGGCGUCGUCCUCCUAGAGAUGCUAACUGGAAAAGCUCCUCUCCAGUCACCAGGGCGUGAUGACAUGGUUGAUCUCCCAAGGUGGGUCCAGUCCGUGGUCAGGGAGGAAUGGACUGCAGAGGUUUUUGAUGUUGAGCUUAUGAGAUAUCAAAACAUUGAAGAAGAAAUGGUCCAAAUGUUGCAAAUUGCAAUGGCUUGCGUGGCAAAGGUUCCGGACAUGCGACCUAACAUGGAAGAAGUUGUUAGAAUGAUUGAAGACAUCCGGCAAUCCGACUCAGAGAACCGACCAUCUUCUGAAGACAAUAAAUCAAACGUGCAGACUCCUGACCUCUAAAACUAGCUUGUUGCUGUUUCCAUUUAUCAGUUUGGUAAAUUCAUAUUGACAUUCAUCUGAUGAUUACGGAAGCAUAAUAGAACAUUUUCUAUAUUUGUACAUGCCUCCUAUGGUUUUCCCUAGCAUGAUUCAAUUCCACGCAUGGCUUUGUAGAGUGGGAUUCAAUCCAAUUGCGAGAUUUUCCUAGAUAGUUUGUAUUUUCUUUCUUUCAUGAUUUCUUCAUUUCUUGUAAUAUGCAUUUUAGCAUAAUGAAAAAAUUGAUGAUCUUCAUUUGCUCAUCGCUUUCUGGACAUUAUGACUUGUCUUUGACAAUAUGCAUGCUAGUCGCAUCAUUUCACGUACGUAUAUUCCACAUAUAUAGAUCUUGUGAAAGGAUCAUCACAUAUUUGACAAUUUGUCCAGCAAUUUCUUACGGACAUGAUUCUCUGAGGUCCUUCAAAGUAGGAAGCUAUAUUUGGAGUGUGCUAUAAUACCAGAAUGGAUGUGAACACCAGGUAUUGUUUAGUUUACAAUGCAUUGCUAACUUCUAUUUACUGUAUAUAGAUUGUGGUCCUAGAGUUUCUCACUGCUAACAAACCUAUUGUCCAUCUGAAAGAUAUGAGAAUGAAAUUAAGCUGCGCAGUUGAAUCACAUUAUCGUUUUCUGUAGUACUCCUCCCCACAGGCUAGGAGGUACUGCCGAUCGAUCAUCAAAACAAUGAGGGAUGACAGGUUGGGAUCUUUGCCAGCCCCUCCCGGCAGCGCCAAGUCAAAGCACAGCAGCAGCAGGGCCAGUGCACGCCAUGUUGCCUUCUCGGAAACUUCUGCAGCUCCGAGCACCAACCGUGACGAUGGAGCCUUCUUCCCCCCACCAGAUUUAGAUGGAGAACGUCCGAAACGCCUCCGGCCACGUGCCUAUGCAUGCUGUGCAUGGGGAUGCAUGUUCAUUUUCGCCUUCGUCCUCCUCGCCCUCAUCUUAGGUUUUGUGUUCGUCUCCAUCUUCCAUUCUUACUUGCCUGUAAUCCGGGUCCGGCGGUUCAAUGCAACCAAGAUCGAGUUUGGCAAACCGAAUAAUCAGCACAAGGUGAGCUUGAAGGGAAAAGUAGAUUUGCUAGUGGAGAUUAAUAACCAGAACGAGAAAACCGAGCUCAAAUUCGGGAUGUUCAAAGUGAGUGCUUCUACUUCCAAUCUCAAUCUGGGUAACACCGAGUUUAAGGCAUUUACUCAGCCAACGAAAUCGUCGAAAUCACUGAACACAACCAUUGGGGUUAACAAUUCCGGGGUUGAUAAAGAUGACGCAGAGCAACUGAAACAAGAUAUUCAAAACCAUGAAUUUGAGCUGCAACUGAACAUGGUCGGAAGUGUUAGCUUCCCGAUCUCAGGGAUUAAUAUGAAUCAGAUUCCGAUCAUAGCGUCAUGUGAUUGCAAACAAACGGAAGUUGAUUUUGGGAAGAAUGCAAGGUGUAAUUAUCGGAUUUUCAAAUCCUAAAUUAUGGAGACCUAAUGUAAGAUUCACUCUUAUAAUUCAGUUUGAUCGGUUACCUAGCAAUCUAGCAUUGACAGAUUCAUGAGGCUGCAACAUUAUUAGAUGAGACCAAUUUGAUCCAAUCCAUCCAAUGAUCGAUCCCAUAUAUAAGAUUCUUAGCUUUAUGUAUAGAUACUGUAUAAGGUUAACAUUUUUGCAGUUAUUUCCCAGCUAGCUCUGAUUUCAAUGUUCAUACCAGAACAAGAACCUGUUCGAUUCAUUAAAAUGCUCUACUGUUUUGGUAUCAACAUACACAAAUACUUGCUUUCCUGUUAGUUUGUUCUUCACCUAGAUGGGUCGCAUUAAGUAAGUGUUAAACGUAUCAGUUUACACUACUCUCACUAAUAUUAUAUAUGCUCCCAAAAUACCGUGAAAUUGUUACUUAUUAUAUGAUGCUAGCUCCCUCUUCAUUGAAUUGAGUUUUACCGGGUCGCAUCUCAUUUUUUCCUUCAAAGUACAUAGCGACUCAAUAGUCAUGGAUAGACGAAGAUAUAUUGACCAAGAGAUUCAUGGUCAGUCACCUUUAGAUUUACAUCCAAGGUUUGAAAAUAAAACAACUCUACUUAAAAAUAAUUCUCCUCACCUUUAGAAUUAAAUCUAAUAGUGACUGACCAUACUAUGUGAACAUGACUGCUAUCAAUCAAUGAGAAACGUUUUGAAACUUUUGAUAGAGCAUGAGUGAAUGAAUUCGCUUAUAAGAAAUAGAUAUGAAGAGAUUGAAAAUCGUAUACUUACUUUCUCUACACUUCAGGUGUUUUUUUCGGCAAGACCUUUCUUUUAUCAUAUUUCAAUUUAUUAUAUUUUCGGGUUUUUAUCACAUUUCUAUUAUAAUUAGAAAAGUUAAGGAGGUUAUGGUGAAGGCUCAACAAAUUUAUUAGGGUCUGUACAUAAUCGAUAUAGAGGAUUGUCCUUACAAUGUCAUCCCUAGCUCUUAAGAUUUUGCGUAUGUGUUCUUAUAUAUAGGAAAAUGAGCUUAUUUCACCUCAUUCUCCAUUGUGAAGUUUAAUUGUUAAUGCAACUGAAUCAAGCAAUAGACGAAUACACCACAAAAUAUUUGCUUGGGUGCAUAACUUGCAACAAUUUUGUAAAUGUAUUGUUCUACACCCAUCAUCUUAUAAUCUCAAACUAAAAUGCUAGCUAAGCUCCUAUUCCAGAUACGAAAAGAAGGACAAUCUGAUCGAGUAAGGUCACAACUCAUGACAACAUAGGAAGUGAGUAUUUCUUUGGCCCUCCAUUUACCCAACUUCCGAACCUUGUGUUUGGAAGGAAGACAACCUUCAAAUCCAAACACUGAGGGUUCAACAUGAACUUUUCGAUUCUCCAUCCACCGGUCGUAUAUGUACCCGAAGCAAACAUUGUCAGGCUAAAAUUCACAGCUCCAUUCUCAUUGAAUUGACUAUUGAUCUCAUGGGAAACCAAUUCAUUCGUUGCCACUGUCCGGUGUUUUGAUAACUUCAUAUGCAGCAGUCUCUGCUCCAUGUAUCCCAACUCAAACGGCUCUUCUGAGUACAUUGCAAGAGAGUUGCCUUUGCACGAAAUCGAUCCUCUUAUGCUGUUAAAGUGAACCGUCGAGACCAAGUUAGGGUUCUCUAUUUUAAGGGUCAUAUCCCAGUCAGCCAUGACGGUUGUGUUUGAGAUGUUAAAGUUAGAAAUAAACAGAGAGUCGAGUUGGAAAUUUGGAGCUUUGGGAACCAAGGACAUGGAGGUGAAAUAAUAAAUCAAGGACAAGAAUGUUCCGAAUUUAACCAUUAGAACUAUGCGAUGGAAGAUGGUGACUCUGGAAAUGUAAUGUGAUUUCACAGACGGAACAGAAGAAUUUGAUUUAGGGUUACAUGAAACUGGAAGUAGUGGUGUGUUCUCUGGGCAUUCCAGUGCUUUAAGAUUAGUUUCCAUUGGAAUGAAAAAGGCUAUGAGUGGAACUUAAGGAAAGUCUUUGAUUGUGAGAAGAUGAAAGAUAGAUGAAAUUGAAGAAAGUUAUUUGAAACGAGAAUGCCUUGACUGCAUAUAUAAUUUUCAUAGAUCGUUAACGAAAUAACUAUUUACAAUGAAAUUUGUUGAAGUUUAGUAAAAAAAAAACGAAUAACUUGAUUGAAAACUAAAAAUGCCUAAAACGUUGAUUUUUUUUUCUUUUCAGUUUAACAAAUAAAACAAAAAAUUAAACUAAUAUUAGCAAAACAAAAAAAAAUAUCAACAAUAGGAGAGAGAUCUAAAAGUUAUUUGAGAAAUUUUGAUAAAUAACCUACUUUUGGUGCUUGAAUUAAUUUUUGACCAUAUUUUUACUAAUAGUUGAAAAAUGACCAUAUAGAGGAACCAAAAGUGUUAACCGCCCUUAUCUUAAAUUUAUGCAACUCCGAUCCAUUCUUUUUUCUCAAUUUUCACGAUUGCGGCAAGUUGCUUUCUCUAUAAGUUUUAAUCCAACACAACAUUGUUUUUGAUCCAUAUUUCUUUGUAUGCCUUUCAAUUUUCCAAAAAAAAGGAAUACAUAUAAACUUGUUUCUCUAAUUCUCUCAGUCACCAAACCUCCUAAAGUUUCCUUUGCUCUCAGCCGAGAAAUUGAGACAUUUGAUAAGAAUAAGGUGACCAACUUAAUUCUCCAAAUGGAUGCAUCGUAUAUCUUGUGGGAUGUUGUUCAUAUUGUUUUGCUUCUUUUUAACUGUUGUUUAUGAUUUUCAAAUAUAGAAUAUUGAAUGUGAUUCAAUGAUCAAACAUACAAACUUGAAUUUGAGACAAUGGCCUUCAAGCUAUGUUUCAAAGACAACCCAGUAAUUAUGUAAUAUAAAACUAAUACUAAUCUUGUUAAGAAUGUUGUAUGGAGUUAAAUUAUCCAUCUAUUUCUUGUUGAACUCUCUCAAAUGAAUGAUGAAACACGUUAAGAAAAUAAGAAGUUUAAAUGAGGGCAUUUGAGUCUUUUGAUUCCCUUAUAUGGCUAUUUUUCAAAAUUUAGAAAAACAUAGUUAAAAAUCAAUUUAGAGCUAAAAAAUAGGUUAAUUAUCAAAAUUUCUCAAGUUAUCUAAUCUUGCAUAUACAUGAAUAGUUACAAAAACCAUGUUUUUUGUAUUUGGUGCGUCUAUUGCCACCCCACAAACCACUUUACUCACCCCACAUGUUGUUGAUUUAUUAAAAUACUAAAAUACCCUUAUGUAAAAUUACAGCAAGAGACAAUAAUUAGUUGUUACAAAUUAUAAAUUUUCUCUUUUCUUUUUUAUCUUUUUGUUUUGGAUAAACACAAAUUUCUUAACUCUAACCCAGAUUUAUCAUAUUCGGUCGUGAGUCUGAAGACACUAGCAUUUAACCUGAAGAUGAAACUGUUUGUCUUUUUUUUUUUCUUUGUUGAUGAUUCGUCUAUCCACUUACUCAUUAUUUCCCAUGUCGACUUUGUAUGUAAAUUCUCAUGGACAACUACUGUACCGUCUUUAUGAACAACGGAUAUAUAGAUCAGUUAAAGAAGCUUAGAAGUAUGGAAGACAUUGUUAUUAGAGAUACAUUUACAUAGAUUGUGCAUCUUGAUAAUACCAUUGAUUUGUUAAAUUUGAGAGUUUUUUUCUUAUUCUUUAACUUAGAUUUAUAUUUUAAUGUGAAUUUUUGUUCACUUUGGUGAUUUUACUUACCUUGAGCAAAUCUGAAUUUUGACAAAAUAUAUGAAGAGAAUGUAGGGUGAAUAAAGUAUAAUUGAGAAAAAUGUUUUUUUAGGUAUUGUUAAUGAAUGAACAAAAUAGAUUUACAAUUAAAAUUAUAUGAGUGGGGUGUGAAAAAAAUGUGGGGUAAGCAAAGUGGUUUGUGGGGUGGCAACAGACGCACCUUUUUUGUAUUUGGCAGUUUUGGAUUUUUCAUAAAAUUAUGAGACCAAUUUCGAAAAUUUUUUCAUUCAUUAAGGAAUGAGAAUCAAUACUAAACCCCAAGAAAUGAAAAUGGGGAAUGAUUCCAGAUUUUGUCGUGGAACUUGUAUAUAGUGUUUGUAAACACAAAUUUAAAAGAGAAUGUGAAUGACUCUUUAUGGAUUCAUUUCUUUUCCUAGUUAGUAAUCGCUAUCACAUCCCGGUUCUUAAAUUAAAUUACGGUUAUUUACUGUUGGUAUCACUUUGGCCUUUUACCGUCUUAAGUAACCGUUUACUAUUUAAGACUUCAAAAGUUGACUUUUCUUCCGUUUGGAAUUUGGGAAAACUUUCCUCAUGAAAGUCGUAGAGGACAUUAAAUAGAGUUCGUGGACACGUGGCACGCUUAAAUCAGAGUUCGUAUGAAGAAGUUAUGGUCUAAAAACGAAAGUUACUAUUUUGGUUGGGGGUAAAUUUUUGGUAGGCUUUAUUUUUGUGUGGGUAUUAACGUUGGACCGGGUAGGAGAGGCCCAUUUCUUCUCUUCCUUCUCUCUCUCCUCUCCCCUGAAUUCUUCCCGACUCGCCGGACGUUACCCUCAGUUCGUCGUUGUCCGACCACCACAGACCUCCGCACCAGUCUCGAUCGAUCGGCCCUCGACCCAGCUUUGUUCUUGGACCAGUGGGAGCAGCCAUAACGCCACCGUGAGGGAGGAAGAGCGCUCGGAAGCUUCGACUGUGCAGUGGGAGUCCGUCGCCGAAAUUCACUCCUCUGGCCGCCAUCGCCGGUGGUUCGGGUCUCAUUUGGAAGUGCUCUUCGUGUAUAACAAUCCCCUAGAAGGUAAUUAACUAACUCGAAGUGUGUAGGAGUAUUUUCAGUCUAGGGUUUGAAUUGGGGAUUUUUGAAUGUCUUGAUUCGAUUACCCUAAUUAGGCUUAUAAUUGGACUAAGUGCUAGUUAUGGAAGUUGUUGUGUAUUUUGAGAGGAUUGUUGUGUUAAAAUUUGGGAAACAUUGGAGGUCGCCAAAGUACGGCCGCAGCCGCCCCUUAAGGACAGUUUUUCAUGUUUUUGAGAUGGUUUUAAUGAGAGGGGUUUAAUGAAGUAAAGUUUGGAUUUUUUGGAGGAGUUUUGAUAAGGUUUGGGAUUUUUCAAUGGUUAAGAAUUGUGGCGGUUAUUAGAAUGGGAUUUCGGCAGUUGGUUUAACAGGUUUUAAAUUCUAAAAAGGUUAAUUAUGGCUAUCGGUAAGUGCGGAGUAAUGUGAGCCUUAUUAGAUUAAAAGUGGAGAAGUUGGGCAAAAGAGAUGAAAUUAUAGGCUUCCUUUUUAUUUCGGAAAUAUUUAUUUAAGCUUUAAUCUAGUCUGGAGACUUAAUAUUAUUUAUUGUUCAGGACGUGAAGAGGAUCGUGUUGGUAGACCUCGGAUCGAUGGCAGACAUAGCCGUAAACAGUGAGUGGACAUUUUGGUUUUAAAUAAAUAUGCAUGCAAGAUUUUAUAUUUUAUUAUUUUAUUUUCCGAGCUUAUAUUGUAAUUUUGGCUUAUGAGAUGAUCUUGGAAAUUAUUUGAGUUUGAAGCAUUGAUUAAUGGUUGGUCAUGAUUUAUGGAUUUGAGCUCGGGUUUUAAAGUUGGUAUUUGAGUUUUGAUAUUCUUUAUGACUCCAGAUUUAAUUAUCAUCGGUUUUAUUUUGAUGAUUGUGAGAUUUAUAAAAGAUUGCCGAAAAUGGGAUUUUUGGUAGUUCUCUAUUUAUAACUUUCUCGUUUACUUGUGGAUUAUCGAUAUUGACAUUGAGAAUAUUUUUAGCAAGUAUUUUCGGAUUAUGAAAUUAUUUACAAUUUAUAUUUGUUAAUUAAAUCUCGCUUAUAAUUAUGGAUUUAUGAGUUUUAAUAAAAUUUCUUAUGAUGAUUUUCAAGUACGGUUGGGAACCGUACCAUUUGUUUGAUAUUGGGGAAGUUUAAUGGAUUUAAGUGAUUUCGUAUGUUUUUAACGCCAUAAUAUAGGGUCGCUUAUAUUGAUUAUUGCUAGCUAACCAUUAUUAGCGGUCCUCACUAUAGGUCAGUAGAGCGUUUAGCGUGAGACGCUAUUAUAGCCUGAGAGGCAACCGAUCGGUAUGUAUAUUUAUUAGUUAGCUAGCCUUAUUAGCGGUCCUCAUCAUAUGUGAGUUGAGCGCUUAGCGUGGGACGCUAUUAUAGCCUAGGAGGCAUCAACCCGAGCCUGAGAGGCUCCUUUUACAUGGUGAUAACUCUUUCCCUUAUUUAUUUUUCUUAGUUAUAUAAUUGAUUAACCAGUAGGGCUGGUUUAUCCCUCAUUUUGAGAUUUCUGUUUUAUUUAACCAGGGGGCUGGUUUAUCCUUUAUUAAGUGAAUUUCGAUUUAAAGUUUUAAGGACGUUCAAAGUUGCGUGCAAUCAAGUUUUGAAGUUGAAACACGGGAAAGUAUAUAAAUUAUGUUUUUGUUAAGUUAUUUAAUUUAUUUUUUGUCCACUCACUCUAACGUUUCAAAUUACUUUCCCUUGGGCCAUUUGGUUUUAAAUGCACAGUUUGCAGGGUAAGUUUAAAUGAGGUCGAGCGUACAUGGAGUCGAAGCGUAGUCAGAGGCUGCUUCCGCUUAUUUUUUUAUUCAUUGUUUUUUUUCUUUAUAGAUAUGCUCUGAUAACCAUUUGAGAUAAUUAGCAUUUGAUUAAGGCUAGUUGUAUUAUGGGAGAUGUUAUGAACUUGGGGAGCAUGAAGGCUCCAGGAGUUGAGGUUGGAUGGUUUAUUAUAGAAGUGUAUAUGAAAUUUUUCAGGUAAGGGUUGUCCAUUUUCAAGGUAGAUUAUGCCAAACUUUCGGUAAAUUUUCCUUGGAGGUGGACCCCGCAGGACUUACCUCGGGUUUCAGAGUGAAAUUCGGGGUGGCUCUUGACACGACCCACCCCGAAUUUCACCCUGAAACCCAGAAUAAGUCGUGCGGGGACCACCUCCAAGGAAAAUUUACUGAAAAGAUUAAGAAAAUCUCCCUUGUAGAUGGACAACCCUAACUCGAAAAUUUCAUAUUACACUUCUGAACAUCACAUAAUAUACAAAAAUUCUAAAGUAUUCAGAGCUACUAAACAUAAGCGGAAGCAAGAAAAUACGAGUAGGUUGAACAGGUAACCUACUGGCGAAAACUGGCCGAAAAGCGGGUGACUAUGCCUCGUCUCCUACUAGAUCCAACCCGAACUCUGCAGACUGGGCAAUUUAAAACGAAGGGCCCAGGGGAAAACAUUUAAUAACGUUAGAGUGAGUGGACAAAAAAUAAAU